rnacentral:lncRNA from 1 species
UAUAGCAUAUAAUAGGAUGUCCUGUAUAAUGUCACGAGAGCUAGUACCGUUGCCAAGCAGUAAUUAGUAGUGCUGAGUUUAGAAUAGGAAACGGAUCCAGGAGUCGAAAGAUAGAAAAAAUACUGAAGUGCGAGUGUCCGUAUGGAAACAGCAACCAAAAGCAUGUAACAGGUCCCAAACAAGGAAAGUGUUAUGAGAAUAAACAAGGACAUUGAACGGCUGGGUAGGAGAUACGCUGUUAAAACAGUUGUUGCCCAAAAGGUUAAAGUGUUGUAUAACCAAAACAUUGUGGACACGUCUAGUAUAUUUUCUAUUUUUUUUUCUUCAGCGGGUGGAGGACUUGGUACGGGUCCAGUGCUGGUUGAACCUAAAGAUAUGUCAUACGUGAGAUGGAAAUUCUGGGAAUUUGAAAUGGUAUCAGGCUGCUUUGGAGGGUUCAAAGUGGCAGUGUAUGUGGCUGUUAUAAUUAGCACUGUGACUACUAAAAAUGUGUUACGCGUCUCAUGUGGGAUUCCCUUCUUUCCACGACUUGCUAUUGUUGCAAUUUUUUGAAGAACUGACACCUUUCCUUUUAAAGAUUCGAUGGGGAUUGAAGAGAUGGAGGCUUUGGGAAGCGAGGAAGAGGAACCACGCAAACCUCCUGCUUUGCUUAUCAUAUCUUUAAUGGACUCCUUAUAGUCCACUCUCCCUUCAUCCAAUGGGUAUUGUGAUGGGAUAUCAAGUGCAGUCAAUCCCUCCGCAUUUUUGGCAUUGAUAUGGUCUCCACACAAGCGUUUCAGCAGUACUUUUACCACCUGUUAAUUAGAAUAUUCAUACAAGUAACCUUUGAGUAUAUAUAUACAUAAAUAAUUUUACUAGCAAAAUUAUCAUACCUGAGGUCUGUUUCUGAUAGUAGCAACAUGUAAAACAGUGUUGCCAUCAAUGUCUGCCCAACUCAGUAGUUCUUUCUCCCAACGGUUGGCAGCUUUAUGGCGGCUCCUUAUAAGCCACCCCACCAAGACUUGGAAAGCUUCAAACCUGUCAUUUUUUACGGCAAGAUGGAAAACCGUCUCAUCUCGAACAGUCACAUCUUCAAUAGCCUCGGGGCAAACCUCAAGGAACUUGAUCAAAAAAUCAACAUUUCCAUUUUGAACCACAUGAUGCAAAGGAGUGAAGCCCUCCCGCCCUUUGACACGAACAAGGCCUUCAUCAAACCUGAGGAGUCGAAGCACUGCUAGAGUUUUUUGAUUUUGCAGAGCCAAGUGCAUGGGGCUAAACCCAGCUUGGUUUAGCUUUCUUGCAAACGAUGGCUUUAAGUUGAUCAUCUCCAUCAUAAAAUCAAUAUGCCCUGCAGAAGCUGCUACAUGCAAAGGAGUAUGGAAAAAAGGUACAUCAUCGAUACGCUGUAAAACAUAUGGAUCAUUCAGAAUUAACUCAUACAAGAUGUUUAUGUCUCCUGUUUGUGCAGCACCUAUCAUCCUCUCAUCCAUAGCAAGGUGCGGAAAUUUGCAGAAUAUAGAAAUGGAGUGAAGAAAAAACGCUUUAGCAGAGGAUAUGAUUAUGUUAAGGAUAUAAUGAAGUGUUUGAUUAUUUUUUCCAGAUGAAGUGUUAGACAUUUUAUAGCACUUAAUUAUUUUGGAUUUAUAUGUGAUGUCAGCCUCUACACGUAUAUACGUGAAUGUCACCUAUUAGAAAGAAAUAGUAAUUAAAUUCAUAUUUAAUAUACAUUUUUAAUCUAAUUUUUUUAAUUCAAUUUAAUUUUAGUUAAAACGUUUAAAAACAUUUAUUUAAUCUAAUUUCUUUAAUAUAUUAAAUAAAAAAGAAAUAUUAAAUAAAUUGGAUUAGAGAAUAUAUUGAAUAUGGAUGAAUACUGUAUCAUACUAAUUUUAUGUCUCUAAAAAUUUUAUAUAUUAUUUAGUGGUUUAAUUUUUUAAGAACAUUUGAUAUAAUUCAUAAAGAAAACAAAUAAUAAUUAAUAAUAAAUUUUUUAAUAAAAAAGGUGUGAAAAAUGGUAAGUAGAUAAUAGCUAUUAUCGCUUACAACAUGUUUGGAUUAAAAAGAAGAAAAAAGAAGGGAAAAUUAAGUAAAUUGAGGGAAAGAAAAUUCGGUUUCUUUGUUUAAGUAAAGAAAAUUAAGUAAAUUUUUUAUCGUAUCAUUAGAUUUUAUAUUUUAGAUUAUUAUCUCUUCUUCUUCUUUUUAACUUGUAACAAUCUUAUUUUUAUUUUCUAUUUUUUUAGGUUACUAGAAAUAUUUAAUUUUAAAUUUGUUUGAUAUAUAUUUUUAAAAAUUUUAACAAUAUUUUUUUAUUAACUAUUUUGUUAAAUUAUUAGGAAUCCUUCAUUUAUAAUUUGGUUAAGAUUUUUUUUUUAGUUUGAUCAAAUAAGCUUAUUAAAAAAAGAAUAUACCAAUAUAUUAUUGGUUAACAUUUUAAUUAUUAUUUUAUAUAGAAUAUUGAUAUUUUUCUAUAAAUUUAAUUUGCUGUGAUUUAAUUUUGUUAUUAUAUAUUAUUUAUGAACUGUUAAAAUUAAAAAAUAAAAGUAAAAUAAUUCAUUUUCUUUCCUUUUCACAGUUUAGCAAAACAAGUCCACAGGCUCGUCUCAUUCAAAAAAAGUAAAUUAUAUAUAUAUAUAAGGGCUAGUUUUAACAAAUGAAAAAUAUAGAAAAACUAUAUUAAAAGAAAUGGGGAAGGGAAAAGAACAGAGGGAGAAACAGAAGAGAAUGAAAAAUAAAGAAAAGUUAAAAUAACAUAAAAAAAAUUAAGGGUGGGUUUGGAUGGGCGAUUGGGUGCGGUGCGGUGCGUUUAGCUUAUUUUUUGUCUCACACUACAGUGUCGCUACAGUAUCUAAUCUCACCGCCACCGCUGUUUUUACACUAACUGCAGGUAAACGCACCGCCCAUCCAAACCCACCCUAAAUUGAAUUGCUCAAAACGAAAAAAUUAUAGGAAUCGGUUGUAUAAAUCACCCUAAAAUUUUUGUUUGAAAGAUGAUUUAACAUGUCACAUCAGUUUAUCGUUACACCAUUAACGGAAAUUAACAGCUCAGUGACUAAAAUGUUACAACGUGAUAACGUAAAUGACUAAAAUGUAACGUUUCAAACAUAAGUGACUAAAAUGUAAGCAAAAGUGACUAUUUUAAUAAUUUACCCUUGCAUUUAUCCAAACAUACGCUUAACGUAAACAUUUUUUUAAUUAUUUUUAUUUUAUUUUAUUUUUUACCAUUAUCCGUUAUCCUUAUUUUUAAAAAGUAUAAUUAAUAAAUAGUAUAAUUAUUUUUUAAAAUUAAUUUUAAGUAAUACACCAAAUAGAUUUUAUAACUUAAAUUUAAUAUUUAAUUUUAUAAUUUUUUUUUAUCAAACAACGUUUACUCCUAAGUAAAUAAAUAAAUAAAGGCCUUGUGUAAUUAAGAAAGUUGAGAAAGAGUUAGUCCUCACAUUGGCUAAAAUAACGGAGGAAAGAGAAAAAUUGGCCAAUAAUGGGGAGGCAAUGUCAAUGAGCAUACCCCACACAUACUAUUUACUGUCAAUGGUGAUGGCUGAAUUGGCUACUAUACAUGGAUUUUGUUUUCCUUUUCUUUUUUGUUCUUGUCCUGUAUUAUUUGCAUUUGUGAUCCCAAACUAUGUAAAAUUCCAGUCACUAUGUGAUCACAUUUUAAAAAAAAAAUUAUUUAUUAUCGAUUGAGUAUCAGCUUGAUUGGUAUAAAUAUUAUUGUUAAUGUAUAAGAACAUAAAUUUGAGUGUGUUAAAGCGCAUUAUCCUCUUAUUUAUAGAUUGAGAAGUGGUUAUUGGUAGUUCUAGACAUUGUGUAGAAAAGAAUACAUAUAAUCAGAAUCUAUAUUAAAAUUUUUCAAAAAAAUAUAUUUAUUACACAUGAAUUAAAAGAAAUCUAUUUAUGGGUAGUUCAAGAUUGUUGAAGCUAUAAAAUAAAAAUUCAAUUCGAAAAUAUAAAUCUCUUUUGUUUAACAAAAUAUUAAUAAUUAGUUGAGUUAAUAUUAUGAGUCAAUCGAACACCAAUUUAAUUAAGAAAUUACGAAAAUAUCGUUCCAUAAUUAAAAUAAAUUAUAUUAUUUGAGGAUAUUUUAAUAUUUUUUAUGUAAAAAAAAAUCAAUAAAAAUAUGAAUAUGAUGGGAUUUGAAAUAAAAUCUAGAAUUUACCACUCAACCAAAAUUUUAUUUUAUUAUAUUUUAUACAUUUUUAUUUUAAUAAGCACACUUUAUUAUCUCCGUCAGUUAUAUAUAUAUUAAUAAAUUUAUUGAUUGAGUUGAUAUCACAAGUCAACUCAAUACUAACCGACAAUUGAAGACAACACUUUGAUAGACAGUUGUAGUGCAUUUAAUUAAUAUUUUUAUUUUGAUGUAUUUAUGUGUUUAAAUUUUAUUUUUGCUCCCAAAUUAAUUUAAUUUUUUAUUUUAAUGUCAUACAUAUUUUAUAUAUUCUUAUGAUUAAUUAGCUUCAAACCAUAUGUUUUAUUAUUUAUUUUAUUUUUUUAAGCAUAUAUCUGUAUUCCAAAUCUAAACGCAAUUGCUUAUGUUAGUCAAUGUUACAAAUUGAGAAAUUUAUUAAAACUAUUGAAAUCUUCACAUCUAACCUGGUUUUAUCAUGUUUGGAAGACGCUAUUGAUCUUCUUCAAGUGGUUUUUUCACAAAUAUACUAUUCAUAUAUAUAAAAUAUGAUGAGUAAUAAUGUAUAGUGACGUGUCCAAACACUAAUUGAUGAAAAAAGUGAGUAAUAUUUUAUUACAACAUGAUGCCUUUUCAUAGUAUAAAAUGACUAUGCGAAUGAGGGCUUCCUACCAUUACCAGAAAGCUGAGGCUGUAGGAAUGAUGGCUUUUGCAAGUUGUGAUUUUAGGAUUUUGUGUUUGAUUAUUGUUUAGUUAUGCUAAAAUGUCACAUAUGGGUACUGUUUUAAGUUAUGUGUGAAUUCUAAGUUGAAUAUGUAGCCGCCUAAAAUAUUUAGGAGCGCUAAUUGAGAUCAUUACGAAAGAAAAUUGUAUUCUAACGGUGUAUGAAAAUUUGGACAAAAAUCUCAACUUUUUAUUUUUUUUUAAAUUUUAUUUUUGCUCCCAAAUUAAUUUCAUUUUUUAUUGUUGUACAUAUUUUAUAUAUUCUUAUGAUUAAUUAGCUUCAAGCCAUAUGUUUUAUUAUUUAUUUUAUUUUUUUAAGCAUACAUCUGUAUUCCAAAUCUAAACACAAUUGAUUAUGUUAAUUAAGGUUACAAAUUGAGAAAUUUAUUAACACUAUUGAAAUCUUCACAUCUAACCUGCUUUUAUCAUGUUGGGUAGAUGCUAUUGAUCUUCUUCAAGUGGUCUUUCACGAGUAUACUAUUCAUAUAUAUAAAAUAUGAUGAGUAAUAAUGUAUAGUGACUGUCCAAACACUAAUUGAUGAAAAAAGUGAGUAAUAUUUUAUUACAACAUGAUGCCUUUUCAUAGUAUAAAAUGAUUAUGCGAAUGAGGGCUUCCUAACGAUGGCUUUUGCAAGUUGUGAUUUUAGGAUUUUGAUUGUUUGAUUAUUGUUUAAUUAUGCUAAAAUGUCAUAUAUUUGUGAGCCCUACACUCACAUCAAAUUUAGAUAUGACAAACAUGAUUUAAAACAAAACCAUAUUAUAUUACUAGCUGUGAGCAAUUUAAAGAAAUUGAAUUUCUUUUUUACAAUUUUAAGUUAAUCAAUUAUUUGAUUUUUUAAAAUUAACUUGAAUGAGUGAUUUUGUUUUUCAAGUUUAAGUCAAGUUGAAUUUUACAACUCAAAUAUAAAUAUCUCUUGGGUCACUGAUAGUUUUAAAAAUGUACAAACUGAUCUGUCUCAAAAAUUUUAAAAAUUCAAAAUGAUCUUCUAAAACUCAAAAUAUUUAUAAAAUAUUUUCCCAAAAUUUUAUAAAUACAUAUAAAUUCAAAGAAUUUACCACUUAAAAAUAUAUAAAAAAUAUUAAAUUAUAUUUUUUGAAAAAAUUAAUAAAAUAAAUUUGAGGUCUUAAAUAAGUAACUUAUUAAUUCAAUUUUAUCAUACUAAUUAUCUUGUAUUCCAAGAGUUUUCAUAUAUAUCAGGGGCGAAGCCAGAAAAUUUUUUUUUAGGGGGGCAAAAUGAAUUUUUUAUUUUUAAUAGUCUAUAUCUUUAUAUUAAUAUUUGAACUGGUAUAAAUUAAGAUUGUUACGUCUAACAUUUAUAUCGAAUAAUUUUUACUAUAGAGAAAAGAAGUAAAAAUAAUAAUAUAUGAUGUAAAAUUAUUAAUUUGAGUCUUAACACAGUCGGUAUUUGUAUGUUGUUUAUGUAAUAUGGAGUGAGUUCAAGUAUGUUCAUGUGUAAUUUUUCUUUCUAUUUAAAGGUUGGAGAGGAGUUAGGGUGAAGCUAGAAUUUAUUUUUUUUGGGAGACGAAAUUAAGUUGUAUAUUUUUAUGAGAGUUAAAAUACAAUUUCACAAUUUCAAUAGAUUAUAUGUUUACAAUUUUUAAAGAACUAAAUCAAUAUUUUAUCAUUUUUUGGGGCUAAAGUACAAUUUUACCAUUUAUUAACUUAAAAUUUUAUAAACUUAAUUUAAAGGGUUAAAAUUUGAAUUUCACAUUUUAAAGGGAGGGAUAGAAACCCUUCUAGGCUCCCCUCUUGCCGCCCCCCUAAGAUGAUAUAAAGUAAAGCAAUAAGUGUCUAAAAUAUAUGAAUUAUGAGUACUGAUUACACUUGACCAAUUGCUUUUCUUCAAACAAAGCAAACACUAAUGCACAUGAAAAUGCAAAUUCACAUGCAACCUAGAUAUGCAUUCUAUAUACAAUGCAAUGCAAUGAAUAAAUAAAUAAAUAAAUAUAUAUUAUUUAAUCAUGAGAGUUUUGAUCCCCUUGUGAUUCUUUAACCAACCAUUCUCACACCUAAUUAUAAUUCUAGUAUAGUAAAAGUACGUGAGUGAGUUGAAUGGAUGGUGGUUGUUUGACAUAACAUGUAGAAAGUGAAAAAAUAGUUGAAAAUAAAUCAAGUAUUAAAACAAAAAAUUUAUGAAAGAAAUUCUAGUAUUAUCAAUUUUUCGUGAGGCUCAAAGCUAUUUGGAACAAAAAUAAAAUCAAUGUGUAUAGGCUUAACAAAAUAGCUAUCAUCUUGCAUUGUUAUUUCAUCCUAACCUCUUCCCUCAUAACUUCAUCUUCUAUUUUCUGUUUGACAUUAUCAAAAGUAAAACAUAGUUUUUUUAGGUUUUUCGACUAUUUAUGCAUCAAACUUUUAGGCCAUUUUGGACAUCUUCAUAAUGUUUUUGGGCUUUAAUCUAAGAAAUAAAUUUAGAUAGAUCUUUCAAGUCACAUCAACAUUUCAUAAAUGAUUUAAUAAAUGAGUAAUAAAAGGAUUUAGGGUUAAUGUGCAAAUUUGUCACUAUACUUCAAUUUGAUUGGUAUUUGAUAUUUGAUAUUGAAUUUUAUUGCUUUAAUUUAAUUGAAUUUUGCCACUAAAAUUAGAAUUUUUAUUGAAUUUUCUAUUCAAUUUAAAUUUAAAAUAACUUGAAGGCUAAGUUGAUUAAAAAAUAGUUUUAUAUUUCGCUUUAAUAUUAAAAAAUAAUAAGUUAAUUAAUAUAAUAUUAAAUUUAAAUAAAAUAGUUAUUUUAUAAAAUAAAUUUUUUUUUCUCUUUUAUGAGAUAUGGACUCAUUAACAAUAGAAAUUCUAAUUUAAUUUAUUAAUUUUUAAUAUUUAUAAGUUAAAUUAUUGUUAAAUAUUAAAAUAAAAUAUUUGAAAGAAUUUUUCUUAUUAUAUAUAUUAUGUUUUAAAAUCAUCAAAUUAAUAUUGAGUGGUAAAAAUUAAUUAAAAAAUUGAUUUGGAGAAAUUUUUUAAUAAAAUUGAAAAUUUAUAGUAAAAUUCAAUCACAUAAUAGUUGAUUGAUAAAUUUACACAAAAACUUAAAAUAUAGCUAUGAAUAUCAAUGAAAAUAAAGUAUAGUAGCAAAAUUCAAAGUAUAGUGACAAAUCAUAUAAGUUCAAUGAAUAAAAGAAAUAAAAAAUUAAAUAUAUGAUUAAAAAGAUUUUUUUUUUUUUACGAAAUUGAAAGAUCAAAUAAAUCAUUAUACGUAAUAUAAACAAAAUCACAAGUAUCCUUAAACUUGGCUUAAUUGCCAAUUAGACAAUUUAGGAUGUCAGAUGCAUAAUCAACAAUUUGGAGAUAAAAGGAUGAAUAACCAAGUAUUUUUAUAAAUAAAUUUGUUUUAGAAGAAUGGGAUGAGUUUUAGAGUAUAUAGAGAAGUAGGGUAGUUCUUCCUUCUCCGCAUAGUGGUUUUGCCUACAAUAAUGAAGCAAAGGGAAAAACACGAGGAUGAGAUGCAAUGAAUUCCCCUUGCAUACCCAAUACGUACUAUUUACUAUUUCUUUUCCCACUGAGAAGUUGGUAUUUUGGAAUUAUCGUUUUCAGCUCUACAAAUGUUCUUGGUGCUGUGUCUGUCUUUCUUUGGUGGGUUCUUGCUUUCUGAAUCUGGUUCUACUGUCGAUUUGGAUGGUUAGGAUACAGCGCUUCAGGCAACUGAUGUUCAAAAGGUUCGAUGGCAUUGGGGAUAUGAUGAUUUUAAGUUUAUUGUCGCCCCAUCAGUUGGUUGUUUGGGUGCACAACUAAAUUUUAGUAUUAUUUUAUUUUCCAUAAUUAUAUUUAUUUAAAUUUUAUAAAUAUUUUCUAAGUCUUAAGAUUUUAUUUUUUGCAUUUUAUGAUUUCUUUUUUUGGAUUUUUAAUGGUUUUUAAAUUUUUAUAAUUUUUCUAAAAUGUUUUAAGUAUUUUGAUUGUGUGAGGUUUUGUGAAUGAAGCGAAGGGUAUCUUUAUUGUGGUGAACUUUUAAUUAGCUCAAAAUGAAGUGAUUUAUUACGUCGUGUGAUUUACGGAUAAGUGUUAAAAAUGAAAUGAAUUGUUGAAUUUGAAAACAAUGGUGUAAUAUUGCAGGGAUUUCCAACAUUAUCAUAAAUUUUAGUGAAUUUAGAGACGAAAUCACAGGUCCACUGAGUUUUGUUCAAAUUUAGGGAUUUCAUCGUCAUAUACGGUCGAUUUGGAUAGUUAGCAUACAAAGCUUCAGAUCAUUGAUGUUCAAAAGGUUUGGUGGCCAUGGGUAUAUGUUGAUUUUGAGUUUAUUGUUGCCCCAUAAGUUAGUUGCACUAAAAAAAUGGGUAUUACCGAUGCUAAAAAUUGUUACUAAAAUUUUAUUGUAGCAAUAAAAGUUGUUGCGGGAUUGUUGUGUAUAUCUUUGUUGUCUAAAAUAUAUGCAACUCUACUCAAUUACACAAUAUUUACUCUUAAAUAUGACCUAUUCAACCACCGAUUUCAGCACAUUAAACACAAAUUAAUAAUCUAGAAAUAUCAAACCAAGAAUUAAAUACACAUAAUUGAGAACAAUAAAUUAAGUGUUUAUUGCAUAAAAUAAAAAAUAAAUGAUAGAAUCCAUCAUAGAGUUCACCUCCCUAGGUAUUUAGAAAAUUAGUUCAAGCUUGAAAAUAAAAACAUCCAAGAAAUAGUACAACCAAAAGAAAUAAAGAAAUUCAUGAUAAUCUCCUAAGAAAUCAACUGAGAAUCUUCAAUCUUGACAGAAAUUUGCUUCCAACUUGGCUUCAAUGGUAUUUUUCGAGUUGUUUUCUUGAAUAUUUUAUGACGGCACUCUCAUAUCUUCUUAAUUUUGUCAUAUAUACGUCUUAGAAUGCCCAAAAAACUUAAAAAUUGUGAUUUUAUGCUGUUUGUGUGGCAAUUCCACGAAAUCGACACAGCCUACUACACACCAGUGUGGGUCAUACGACUGUGUGCUUUCCUCGUGUGAAAUUUAGAAAAUGCAAAAGAUUCCCUAUGCACUAGCUGCUGGAAUCUAAUGUAUGCUCAAGUAUGUAUGCGUCCAGAUAUUGCAUACAUUGUUGGGAUGUUAGGCAAACAUUUAAGCAACCCUGGUAUAGACCAUUGGAUAACAACUGAAAGGGUUAUGAGGUAUCUUUAGAGAACAAAAUAUUACAUGCUCACAUAUUGGAUGUUUGAUAAGUUAGAGAACAUCAAGUUUACAGACUCCAAUUUUGAUGGAAUAUUGAUGCAACAUUUUGCCACUAGAGUGCAAACUGUGACAAUAAUUAGUAGUCUCUUAUUCCAAUAACAAUAAAAGCACAUCAAAGUCAAAGCACAUAGACUUUAAGUUCAUAGUUGUUAAAAUAAAAGUUCAGGGUGGUUAGAUGUCUAUAAAGUAUAUUGAGACAAACUUCAUGAUUGCGGAUUCGCUUACUAAGGGACCACCACCCAAAGUUUUUUUCAUGAGCACACUAUUGAUAUGAGUGUAAUGUCAUUCACUACAGAAUAAGUUUUUAGUGGCGUUAUUUUGGGGCUAUAACUGCCUUAUAAGCGUCGCUAAAACAACUUGCGGCGUUUUGAAAAGCACCGCUAAAAACGCCACUAUAGAACAUGACCUUUAGGGGCGCUUUUCCCACAAAUGCCGCUAAAAGUAUGACCUUUAACAGUGUUUGUGGGGCAAACGCCACUAAAGAACAUGACCUUUAGCGGCGCUUUCUCCACAAACGUAACUAAAUGUCAUGUUCUUUAGUGUCGUUUUUAGUAAAAGCGCCGCUAAAAUUCAUGUUCUUUGGCGACAUUUGUGGAAAAAUGCUACUAACUUUAGCAGAUUUUUACCAACCCAUUUUCAUUCAUAUAGAAUCCUAAUUGUUAACAUAAUUUCCUGUAACAUCAAAUCCAACCAAAAACUAAAAAUUUAAAUGAUACUUCAAUUCCAACGAAAGAAAUAUGUAUGUGAUCUAAAUCAGUAAAUGAAAUAACAAAAUAUAUUAUAUUCAAAAGUUAUAUUGUUAAAAUAUUCUCACAAUAAGAAAACAAACAUCUAAGAUGAUGGAUUCUACGACUGUUGAAACAUCUUCAUCAUAUUCUGAAGCUGUAGCUGGAGUUUGUCAUAUUUUUUGCUUGCCCCUGCUUCCCUUGCUGCCGCCUCCGCUUUAAGUUAUAGUUGGAGUUUUUCAUAUUUUCUUUAAGUCUUUGCUUUUCUCGAUGCUGCCUCCACUUUAAAUUGAGCAAUUUGCUCAACUGUGCUCGCUUGCAUUUGAACCAUCUGGUCUCUUAACCUCUGAACUUCAGCUUGAGCCUGAUUCUCUGAAGGCAUGUAUUGUUGCGAACUGGAUCCAAAAUAUUGGGUUGGGUUAACAAAAUAUCCUUGAAAUCAAACCCGACCAUACUUUUCGAGACCCAAAACUUCGGUAAUAAUUCAGUUAUCAAUGUCAUCAAUAUUAACAGAACUAUCACUUGAAGCGAUCGCUUCAUACUCUGCCCUUUUAUCCUUUAGUUUCUCCUAAUAAAUCAACCAAAGAGUUAGAAACGAAAUAUAUAAUCAAAACAAAUGCAAUAUAACUUUGGGAGUCUAAUGUAUGCUCAAGUAUGUAUGUGUCCGGAUAUUGUGUACAUUGUUUGGCUGUUAGGCAAACAUUUAAGCAACUCUAGUAUAGGCCAUUGGAUAACAAUCGAAAGGGUUAUGAGGUAUCUUUAGAGAACAAAAUAUUACAUGCUCACAUAUUGGAUGUUUGAUAAGUUAAAGAACAUCAAGUAUACAGACUCCAAUUUUGAUGGAAUAUUGAUGCAAAAUUUUGCCACUAUAGUGCAAAUUGUGACAAUAAUUAGUAGUCUUUUAUUCCAAUAACAAUAUAAGCACAUCAAAGUCAAAACACAUAGACUUUAAGUUCAUGGUUGUUAAAAUAAAAGUUCAGGGUGGUUAGAUGUCUAUAAAGUAUAUUGAGACAAACUUCAUGAUUACAGAUUCGCUUACUAAGGGAUUACCACCCAAAGUUUUUUUCAUGAGCACACUGUUGAUACAGGUGUAAUGUCAUUUAAGGAUAUUUGACUUUAGUGGGAGUUUGUAUUUUUAAAUUUUUUUAUGUUACAGACACAUCGGUUAUCUCAGUUUACGAAUAUUAAGUUUAUUUUCUUUAGAAAUAAAGUUUAUUUGGUAAAGUUUGACCUCACUAAGGUUAAGGAGGACCAUUUAGAAUAGGCAUGUUUGAAUCAUAUUGCAUGUAAUUUUCAUGUUACACAUCCAUACUUGAUCUAUGUCAUUUGGUUGUGCUAAUAUAUGUUAUUAGGGAUGGAUUUAGUUAUGAUAUAUGUAACAAAAGUCACAUUCGUUCUAUGUUAACUUAAUUAAUGAAUGAGAUUAUUUGGAAUACCUUUUGGAUAUGAUAGUAAAGUUUUGAGCUCAUAAAUUUAUAUAAUGACAUGUAAUUAUAAGGUAAUUGGUAUAUAUAUGUGGCCAAGUGGUAUGGACAUCACAUAUAUAAUAAGCCUAAUUACUCCAAAAUCCUUGCAGCCCUUUAAUGACUUUUAAGCAAUCAUAACCAUUUUAUUUACAGGUCAUUUGUAUGAAGGAACUUUGUGGUCAUGAUCGAGAGAUUCGAAUUUAGCAUAUUUACAGAGAAGGAAAUCUUGUUUCAGAUUUCUUGGCCCAUAUGGGAUUCCGGCUUUGAUCUAAGUUUACUACGAGAGCCACCUGGAAAUGCUCUCUCAAUUUCAACUAUACUAUGUGAUGAUAUUGCUAGUUCUUUGCCCUAUCGCCUGUGCUCAUUUGUGGUUAAUUAGUUUGUAAUAACCCAAAUUUGCCCAGGCUUACAACCCAAAAAUAAACAGAAAUAAAACCCAAAAAUAAAUAACAAGGCCCAAAUAAUAAUAGCCCACAAAACUUAAAAAAAAUCCAGCCAACUGAAACCCUAAUGCCCUCAUAUACGCCGCACCUCCUCCUCGGACACACUGCUCGUACCUCGUCCCAAGGUCUGACUCUUCCCAUAACAGCCCAAUUUUCAAUGAUAUCAGAAACAAUGAUUUUGGAUCACUAAAUCUGAUAAGUAAGCUUGAAAAUUUAAUAAUUAAUAAUUACGGGUCAAGUGUGAAUUUAGAAGAAUUUUUGAAUUAGUGAAUUUUGUUAUUUAAAAAGAAUUUAAUAGGUAAAUCGGGUCUAAAAUGAGGUAUCGAGACCUCGAAUCCAUAAGUCAACACAUAAAUAUUUUUAUAAAUAUUUAUGGAGUGCCAUUGAGUUAGUAUUAAAGUUUCAUCAGAAAAUUUUAACGUUUUGAUAGUCAAUUAAUUAAAAAGGACUAAAUAGAAAAGAUGCAAAACUUGCUAAAGUGAUUAAAUAGCCUAAAAAUUAAAUAAGGAAGGCCUAAAAGAUAAAAUGGACCAAUUUAAGUGGCUGAGGUGGCAUACGGUUAAAAAAAUUAAAGAUUUUUAUGUAUUUAAGGGCAAAAUUGGAAUUACAAUAAAGUUUAUGUGGCCAAAAUUUAUUUUAAGGAUUUCAAGACCAUUUCUUCUUGAAAUUUCGGUGUAAAACAGCCAUGGAAGAGGAUUGAGAGCUGAUAUUUUAUAUUUUAGCUUCAAGUUCAAUUCUUGUUUUUCCCUUGAAAUUUUUAUAUUUUUGGACUUUUACAAUUAGGUCCAACUUAGUAUUCUAUUAGUUUUUUAUUUUGUUGAAAGUUUUGGAAGAUACCAUUGAUAAGUUCAUAUGAUUUUUAUUAUUUGGUGAUGAAAUUGAGAUGUUAAUGGAUGUUUAAAGGUGUUUUAUUAAAUAAUUUUGGAUGAAAAUAUGUUUUAGGGAUUAAAUUGAAAAGUAUUGAAUUUGUGGAAAAUUCUAAAAUUUUAAGAAAUCCAUGGGCUUUCAUUGACAUGUAUGCGAAUGAUUAGGCUUGUAUCAAUGAUUAAAUUGAAAUAAUUUCAUUUUCCGAGCCUAGGGAUGAAAUCGUCAUGUAUUAAAAGUUUAGGGUCAAAAUGGUAAUCAAUAUAUUGCACUAAAAUAGUUUUGGGUAGUAGUAGUGUGCCAACUUUGAAAAAUCACCAAAAACUGUGGGAAUCGAAUUAGAAGAUGAGUAAAAGAUGAAAUUAAAGCUUAUUGUGUCUAGUUUCUCAUAGAAGAAACAGUGUAAGCAAUGGAAUUAUAAAUCAUGAGAUAUAAUAAAUUUUGUGAGACAGAGUCAGAAUAAUUUUGGAAUCCCCUGUUCUAAUUUUGGAAAAUCAUUAAAAAUUGUAUAAAAAUAAUUAUGAGUUAUAGUUUAUAUGUUUAAAAUCCUGAAAGAGUUUAUUUUCAAGAGAAACAAACAAGAACAUCACCCAAACUCUGUACAAUGAGAUAAUUACUUUUUGGUGAAGAGAGGUCAGAACUGUCAAACAGUGAAACAGGGGAGAAUUUAAAGAAUAAACUGUAUUUAUUGGCUAAGCCAAAAAUUCUAAAAAUUUUAUGGUAAAAUGAUAUAUGAGACUAGUUUCUGGAAAAAUUAACAAAUCUUAAUUUAGAGCUUCGUAGCUCGAGAUAUAAAUAAUUUAGUGACUCUGACUCGGAUAGACAACUUUGAAUUUAUGUAUAAGUAAAUCGUGAAAAUAUAGUUAAUGUUAUUUAAGCAUGUUAUAUACAUUAAGGAUGUGGAAUGGAGAGGAGGAGGAGGAAAAUUGGAAAAUAUAUGAAUGACUUGUGUAUGAAUUGGUCAUAUGCCUGAUUAUAAUCGAUAAACGUUGAAUUUGAAAUGAUAUAAUGUUUUAUUUCAAAUAGUUAUUAUGAAAUUAUGAUUAUCAUUAUGUUACAAAAUUUAAUUGUAAGUUCAUAUGGCAGAAUUUUAAUGAUUAAUUGUUAAUUUCAUAAUUAUAUAAUAUAUGAUGGGAUAUAAUUGUUGAUGAAUUGAGAAUAAAAUAACAAUGCGAAAAUCGAAUAAAUGAUCAAAUUUAGUGGAACGUCGGAUUUGAGUACUUCUGAUCAGUGACAAGUGAUAUAUGAUUUCCGUGUAAGACCAUAUUUGGGAUAUGGCAUCGUUGUGACAUGUGUUUCCGUGUAAGACCAUAGCUCGGCUAUGGCUUCGGUGUGUGAUAUGUAACGAUGUGCAAUACCAUAGCUAUACUAUGGCAAUGUGGAAACAAAGUACUCAAUUCCAUAAGACGUUCUCUAAUUUAUCAAAUUGUGGUAAGUGUUAAGCAAAUUUUAUGUGAUAAAACAUAUUGAACAGUGAAAUUGAGCUGAAUUAUGUGAUCUCAUCAUUCAGAGAUUGUGUUUGAUAGGUUAUGUUAAUAAAUUAUGUGUAUGUGAAUUUAAGUGACAGAAAUUAAACAGCUAAUGAUAUUGAGCUCAUUUACAUGAAUCUGUCAUUUGAAAUUGUGAUUGACAGAAAGAAAUAGUGAAUUGAAUAUGAAAAUGUGAAUAGAAAGCACAAACUAAAUGUUCUUGCGAUAAAUAAUGGCUCAAUGUGAUAGUAAAUGAUGUUAAUCUAAUGAAAGUUAAAUUGAAUUGUAAAUGACUUGAAUUAUCCGAAAAUGUUCUAUAAUCUCUGGUAAUGUCUCGGAACCCUAUUUCGGUGACAGAUACGGGUAAGGGGUGUUACACUUCCCCUGGCCACCUUGCCUAGCCUUGUAAAACAAAAUAGAAGAAGAAGAUAGAAGCGAAAAUAGCAGGGGAUAGCAGAAAAUAGUAGCAUAAUCGGCUGUAAAAGCCCCAAUGAAAUGUAAUUUAUUUUUUUUCUACGGAUAAUCAAAUAUUAAGAGAACAAAAUAUCAAUCGAAAAUCCUGAAGGUUUACUUCUACUGUUGUUUUAAGUUUUGGUUCAUUUUUAUUCUGCCUUUUAUUUUUCAUUUUUUUACAUACAAAGAAAGGAAAAAGAAACAGAAAUAAAAUACCAUAGUUUUAAAACAACAAAGGAAUUUCUUUGCAUAUUUAUCGAAAAUAGAGCAUAUAUACAUAGAUAUAUUCAAAAAAACACAAGUUUUUUUAACCUCUGUUGUGACUGAAGAAGGUGGAACCAAAUGGUUUUUUUUCGCCUUUUCUGAAUUUCAAAGGGGUUUCUUAGGAUUUUAACCUCGGAUUGAGAUUUGGGAGGCCGAAUAGGUCGAAAAGGGGCCUUUUUUUGAACUCCGGUCGACGUAUACGGCGGCAUACGGUGGUGGAUGACGGUGGACGGACGGUUGCCCAGUGACUAGGGUACAGCUAGACCACGACCGGAGGAAAAGGGAUUGAGAGAGAAUCCCCUGAUUUUUUUUGGAAAAAGAAGAAAAUGAAAUUUUUAAAAAAAAAUUGACUUAACUAGGGCCCCUAAACGGCGCCAUUUAGGGCUGGUCAUAAUAGCCCUAAAACGAUGUCGUUUUGCCCAAGACCCGCGCAUGUGACCCGACCCGCCAGAGGAUCCGCGUGUUUUUAACUUUUGGGCUAUUUGCGCUUUAGGCCCUUCAUCAUUUUUGGUCUAUUUCAAUUUAGUCCUUUUGCAUUUUUUCUUUAUUUUUUAAUUUAGACCACAGAUUUGUCUCGGUUUUCAAUUUGGUCCUCAAUUCGUUGGACCCCUGGGGAGGAGAUGCGUGGCCUGGAAAACUGGUUUAUUACCCAUUUGGCCCUCCUCCCUCUCGCGCUCUUUCAUUUUGGUCUUUCUUUAUUCAUUUUAUUAUAGCUUUGACCUUUAAAUUUCAUUUUUAUCCCGAGUUAGUCCAUCUUUGUUAUUUUUGUUAUAUUAUUAAUUAAUCUAAUUAUUAUCAUACUUAUAUUUUCUUUUUAUAUUUACUUAUUAUAUUAUUAUAUUAUACUAUUAGUUUUGUAUUAUUAUUAUUAUUAUAUUAUUAUUAUAUUUAUAUUUAUAUUUACUUAUCUAAAUUUUAAAUAUAUUUUGUCUUAGUAUAUAUUAUUAUGUAAUUACUUAUAUCUUUUGUAUUUUUUUAACUCUAGAUUAUUCGCUAUUCUAUUAUUAAUAUUAUUAUUGUUAUUAUUUACUUAUUUAUAUCCUUUUUAUUUCAAACUUUGUUAUAUAUAUACAUACAUACAUAUAUUAUUUUUUAUAUUUUUAUAAUCUUAUUUAUUUUCAUUAUUGUUAUUAUUGUUUUACUUGAUAUUUAUUUAUUUAUGUGUCCAUUAUUAUUUUAAGAAACAUUUUAGUUCUGUUUGUUUAUUUACUUGUUAUUUUAUGUAUAAUUGAUUUGUCCCCUUUUUUUAUUUAUUUAUCUUAUUUUCGUUGUUGUUGCUCGUAUUAUUUAUGCUUACAUCAUUGUAUUUAUUAUUGUUUUGUUACGCAUAUUAACCCCGUGUUUUAUUUCUACCAUUUCGUGUUAGAUUAAUCUCAUUUGAUGCAUAAAUCAUGACUUUAAAACAAGUAAAACUAGAUAUUUUGAGAUCCGAAAAGGUCGUGCCCUAACUUACGGGGCUUUGAUUUUCUCGAUAAAUUCAAAUACACGAAUCUUUUCAAACAUAAGUUUUUUAAGUGAUCUCGGGAAUUAAUAAAAGAUCGGGUUCUAACUUACGGGACUUGAUUUCUUUUCCAAACCCGAGAUAAUCAAAUCGAAUAUCCUUCAAAUAAAUAAAGCUUUUGGCAUUUAUUCUCGAAUCAAGUAUUUAAAUAUAUUGUGUCCUAACUUACGGGAUAUAAUUCUCUUUCUCGAUUAACGCGAAAUAUGCCCUUUUCUUGAAAACUUUCAGCAUUUUAACAAAGGAUUGUAUUUUGAAUCUUUUCAAAGUUUCCAAUUCUCGACACUAAGACACUAAUUAAUCAACCAGGUACCAAUUUCUAGGCGUUAUGAGGGUGCUAACCCUUCCUCGUAUGUAACCGACUCCCGAACCCAUCUUUCUGAAUUUCGUAGACCAAAAGCGUUGUUUUAAUAAAUCGAACCGUUUUGUUAAAAAUAACCAUUUUUUGAGUUGACCUGAUCACACCUCCUCAAAAAAGGAUUGGUGGCGACUCCCAUAUUCAUUUUCGUUUUAAAAAUCCAAGUCGACCUCUUUUAUCAAAAAAUGGUUUCGACAUAGUUGUUAAGGCUUUUGCCUCUUUCUUUUAUUAAAAAAAAAAGCUGGGCACGAUGAAUCGACCUUAGCUAGUAAAAAACUUCAAUCACCGAAUUGCAUAAAAUUCUAACUUAAAUUCAAAUGCAGAAGCAGGAUCGUUUAUCAAUCCACAAUAUCAACAAAUCUCAAUUCAAACACAAAAUUAACCGGUGAAAAAAAAUAGUUCAACCCAUAAACAUUUACCACAAAGGGAAAUUUGAAACACUUACCACCAUUCCCCUAUCAGAAAGUCUUACCCACAUUCAACAACUAGAAAUCAGAGCUCACCAAAAUGUUUAUGACGAAGCCAUUUUUUUGAAAAGGGUCGACUUUUUAUUUAAAAACGAAAAAGGGAGUCACCACUAAUCAUUUUUAUGAGGUGUGAUCGGGUCACCUCGUAACGGUUUAAUUGAUUAAAAUAAAAAUUUUGGUCUACAAAAUUUAGAAAAAUGGGUUCAGGAGUUGGUUACGUACGAGGAAGGAUUAGCACCCUCGUAACGCCCAAAAUUGGUACCUAAUUGAUUAAUUAAUGUCUUAAUGUUGAAAAUUAAAAACUUGAAAAGAAUUUAAAAUACGAUCCCUCUUUAUUAAUGUUAUUUUUUAGUUAAAAUUUCUUGGAUAAAUCAAAAUGUGUGCUUAAGACUUUCUCGUCCCAAAGUAGCAAAAAUAUUAUGUCCCGUAAGUUAGGACACAACACUUUGAACUUUGGAGAAUGAACUUGCCUUUAUUUUUUAUUUUAAAUCUUAUUAUUUUGAUUUUAAAAGGAUAUUCGGUUAUUUGAGUUCAACGAGAGAAUCGAAACCCCGUAAGUUAGGUACGAUUUCCUGAAUCUCCAAAAUAUGAAUUAUUGCCUAUUCUUUUGAAAAUUUUCCAUUUUUAUGAAAUUGGAUGAAAAUUAAUGAUAUUUAAAAUGAUAUGCAAUAUAAAAUAAAAUAUUAUAAUAACCAUGACGUAAUUACAAAGAUGAAUGCAAUAUUGUUUGGUGGAAAAUGUUUUCCGAAAAAUAUUUUCUGAAUUUUCCAGCGUUUGUUUGGUGGAAAAUGAAUUCCUAAAGUAAAACAUUUUCCAAACACGGGUAAAAUUAGUCCCCAAUUUUUGGAAAACGUCUUACUAAUUUGGAAUCAGUAAGAAAUUUUCCCGUUCUCCCUUCUCUACACUCUCGUUCUCCCUGCCUCUCUAAACCAAUCUUAGGGCUCAUUGAGCUGGUUCCGGGCUAUUUUUCCCCCUUGAUUUCUUCUCCUUUUUAUAAAUUAAUUUGGGGCUUUUCAUCACUGUGUGUUGUUUUUGUCUGGGAUCUCUUGCAUGGGUUUUCUGCUAGUUUGGGUUCUCUGUGCUCAGGCUUUCUACAAAUUCUGCUCUUCCUCUCUUGCUUGGGUCGGGUUUUUGUUACCGUUUUGUAGCCUGUGGCGUUUGGCUUGUCUUGGGCAAACUUUCUUCGCUGACUUUCUUUAGAAAGGUAUAUUUUCUAUUUUCACUUCCAUUUUCUACUUAUUUUUUAGACGCAAAAUUUCUUAGCAAUUCUUUUAUCUUGAACAAACAAUGUUUUGAGGUUUUGGGUCGUUUCAUAAAGUAGAAAAGGAAUCGAACUGUUAAUAUUCUUAAGAUUGAGAAAUUGAGGACACGUUUGGUUCGCUGUAAUGGAAUAGAGGCGUAAUAGUAAUUCAACUGUUUGGUCGAAUGGAAUGGAAUAGAGCUAUAAUAGUAUUCUUGUGUUUGGUUGAAUGGAAUUAUGUUGUAAUAGCAUAAGGAAAAAAACUAAAAUGAGUAUACCCUUAGCAGAAUUUUUUUAGGUAGAUGAUUAUUAUUAUUCUUAUUAAAUUUUAAUAAGAUUAUUAAUAUAAAUAAUAAAUAAUAUAAUCAUAUUUAACAUAAUUAUUAUUAAAUAUAAUUUAAUAAAAAAUAUAUAAUUUAAUAAAAUUCUUAAUAUAAUUAUUCUUAUAUUAAUUUCCUAAAAUCAUAAUAUAUAAUAAUCACUACACCAAAACAGGUUUUUAGCGGCGUUUGGAUAAAAAACGUCGCUAAAAAUUGAGCAUUAGCUGCGAUUUACGUCAAACGCAGCUAAAGAUCGAGCAUUAGUGGCGCUUCCAAGAAAGCGCCUCAAAAAAUGAGCAUUAGCGGCGUUUAUCCAAAAAACGCCGCAAAAAACGUAAACCCAACGGCAUCGUUUUUGACCUUUCGGGGCUUUAGCGGCGCUUUUUCAAAAGCGCCGCUAAUACUCGGGUCUUUAGCAGUGCUUUUCCCAAAAUGCCGCUAAUGCUCUAGUCUUUAGCGGCGCUUUUUCAGAAGUGCCGCUAAUGCUCGGGUCUUUAGCGGCGCUUUGUCAAAAAUGCCGCCAAAGCUCGGGUCUUUAGCAGCGCUUUUUCAAAAAUGCCGCUAAUGCUCGUGUCUUUAGCGGCGCUUAAUCCCAAAUUGAUCCUCCAUACCAAAAUGAGUGGAAAUGAGUUUAAAAGAUGUCCAAAACAUUAACAUUUAAACAUUUGUUAAGAAAUUUUCUUUUGUUUUCAAUAUAAAUGGCUUAAAAAAUGAAAAAAAAGUCUUAAACUUUGUUUGAUUAAAAAUUUUCGUAUAUAAAAAGGAACAUAUUUAAAUUUAUGUGGAUGGUUUUUAUUUAGUUUCAUUAAUAUAGGGAGAUUAAAGAUUGGUGGAGAUUUUACCUAACAAAUUAUUAUAGAAAGAGAGAAGAUGGAUUUAACACCUUUUGAGAAUCCAUUCCCCAAUGAGUUGUAUGGUGUAUCAAUUACGCAUGUAUGAAUAUAUUUUCCUUCCACCAUGUGCUGCCACGAAACUUAGGGCCAAUAUUGUGGAUUCCCGGAGAAUUAGAAGAUAAAAGAAAACCUAUAGGAGAUUCUUGUAAGAGUUACUGGUUUAAGAUUGGUUUUGGAUUUUGUAGGAAAGAUAUGCUGCAUCAAUUACACAUGGGGAUUUAAUACAAGUUGGAUCAUUUUCCUCAUCAGCUAACAUUUUCUUAUGCUAGUUUAGAUCCAAAUCCACACACCCAAUUUUGAUUUGCGCUUCCAUCAAACUAAUUCUUUUUACUGUGAAAAACAUAUUAUUUCAGUAAUAAAUGUUGAAUCAACAUUAUUUUAAUAAUAAAUUAUUUUAUUCCUUUUACUAUAGUAUUUUUUUCCCAUCAUGUUGAUUUAGGUAUAGUUUGGAUAGACAUUGCGUUUACUUGUGUUUAGUAUAAAAACAACAGUGACGAUAAAAUUAGAUAAAAGUGAACUAAUCGCACCGCACUGGCCAUCCAAAUCCAAGUACCAUACUCUUCUUUUAGUUUUUUUUAAACCCUAAAUAAGAAAGACAACCUCAUUUAGCGAAGUCAUUAACCCCUUUCUUAAAUUUCCAUAAUAAAACUCAUACCCUAUUCAAAAACCCUAUUUUAACAAAAUUCAACUAUCUUUGAAUUAUUCGUAACCCUAUAUUUAUAAUACAGACGUGGUGAUCAGUUAGACCUUUAAUUACUUAACAUACUUUUUUUUUAUUGACUAACAUCUCUUGUUUUUAUUGACUCCUUUAAUUUUAAUUUAAUAAUUUUAUAAUUUAAUCUAAAGAGGUCAAAUUCGAAUUAUUUUUUUGAUAUAAUUUUUAAUUUAACAAGAGCUGAAUCAUACUUUAUAGGAUUUGAACCUUGGACGAUAGGUUUGAAGACCCACAUGCUACCGAACUAAACUAAUAUCACUUUCUUAUCAUAAUAAAUAAAAUUGUAAAAAAAAUCCUUUUAUUUUAUAACCCUAAUACAAUACAUUGUAUGUCGUAUAUAUAUAAUAUGAGAAAAUGAUAGAUUGAGCAAAAUUGCAUCAUAGGUUGUGUUCAAAAUUCAAAUUCUUUUUGGUUUAGAGGGUUUUAUGUUUGGUUAGUGAUAAGUUUUUUUUCUUUCGCAUGUGAUUUAUCUUUUCGAUAUGUAGGGUGAAGGAUUUAAAUUGUGGAAUGUUUGGUUUAUAUAAGCAGCUUAAGGUAAGAAAAGAAAAGCAAGAUAAAAUUUGAAAGAUGAUCCCAUUGUUGACUGAUUCAUUUACUGCGAGCUUCUCCCUCAUAUUGUAGCGACACUGAUGUACAAAAUAUUUCAAAGAUGUACAAAUUUUUCGAGUUUAAAAACUACAUUGAGUGUAUUUUCGUAGGAGUUCAGUUGAUUUAAAAACUACAUUAAAUGGUUUAGGAUUUAAGGUUUACUUCAGAUUUGUUAAAUGAUGAAAUUUUAUACAAUAAAUUAAUACUUUUAUAUUUAAAAAUAUUUAAUCUAAAAUAUUCGAUAUAUUUAAAUAUUAGAUUUAAAAAAAUUGAUAAAUAAAUAAAGUCACUUAACUAAUAAUUUUUGGUAGAUAAAAUAAAAAAUUUUUAACAGAGCAAAACGACGUUAUUUUAUCAAUAGAUAAGCAAUAAUGGCGUUUUUUGUAAAAACGCCACAAAAUUUAUUUUACUUAGAAAAAAAUUUGGCGCUGAUUUUUCCCAAAUUUUCCCCCUAAAACCCCUAACUUUGCAAACAAAAUGAAAAAAAGAAGAGGAAAAUGAAGGUACCAAAGACGAUUCAGCACAAAACCUCUCCAAUCUACUUACGAGUUCUACCGUUUGUUUCCCUGGAAAAUAUAUGAGACUUAAUAUUUUCUGUUCCAUUUUUCCUCUUUAUUUUCUAAUUUUGGGUAUUAUUUACUCAGAUCCCCUUUCUUUUUAUUAUUGUUUUUUUUUUCUCUUAUAUUUUAGCUAGAAAUCGACGAUGCAAGUUACUGCUGGUAACAAGUUAUUGCUUAAAAUUCAUCGUAACAAAUCUACUUCAAAGGAAGUUAUUCAUAUUCCUUCGUAUCGAAGCGAAGUUAUUUACGGUGGAACUUGGUUCUCCAGCUCUCGUAAGUUUGUUCCCAGUUUUGUAUUUGCCAUCUAUACCAGGUUUACCUCUCUUACUUCUCUUCGUCUUCAUCUCCCUUUCAUUUAUUCUACCAAAAACGCCUCUUACUUGUCAUUUUUUUCUCACAUAUCGUGCAAGACUCAUUUUUCUUUCUUUAUGCUCUAGUCUUAACAGUGCACUUCAACUGUUCAAUAUAAUGCUUCUUUAUACAAUUUGUUUCUGGUUUUCAGGGGGUGUUGUUUGUAAGAUGUUGAAGCAAGCGAUAUGGAAGGUGUUGAGCAAAAGGGUAGUUUCAGAUUCUGGUGAUAAACUUCUUUUGCCUUGUUUGUACUUGCCCACGACUUCUUUUCACGCUGGACAGGUAGGUACUCUUUUUUUUUCUUUUAACUCUUACUUUAGUUUUUUUUAUGGAUACCCAAUUGUUAAUUUAUUAAAUAAUAAAUCUUUAAUAAUAAACCUAAAUUUAUGGCAUUUGAAUUAUUUGUAGAAUUUGAAUCAUAAAAACAUUGUCAAGUAUCUUGGAUCAUUGAAGACAACAAGAAGUUAGGUUUUGUAGUCUCUGUCUGGAAUUCUUGCUCUGAAGUUUGUCUAUUUUAUACGAGUUGAGUUUUCAUGGUUUGCUGUUGCAUUGUUUCUUCUGUUCUUUGUUUUGUUAUUGGAACUAUUUCCAAUUGUCUGGUUUACUUGAAAUCCGAUAUUUGAUUAAAGGGACCAAGUAGAGAGCACAAGUGAGAGCGAAGGCAGUGCAAGUGAUGAAGUGCUUGUUGUUCCUUAUGAUAACUUAGCACCUAUUUCUUGUGGUAAUAUUUUCUCAUUAUUCUUCUACUUUUGAAUUUAUUGUAUUCCAAAUAUAGCAUCAAGAAAAAUAUAAUAGUACAUUAGAGUUCAGCUUGUAUAAUUUGUUUGGAUUCUUUCUGUCUUGAAGCAGAUAUUACUGAAUCUAAGCAGCUUUUAGAUAAGCUUGUUGUGGUGAAGUAUAAUAGAGCUUUGGGAAAGAAUAUGGGUUUCGUUGGUCCCAAGUAAGCAAUUAUCUAACUUCUGGAAGUUUGAUACUUAUUUUUUUCCAAGAAAAGAGAAGCAUUUCUUGAUGAUUCCAUAGUUAUAUAUUAAAGACUUGCCUCUACAUAAAUGAAUAUAGUUUCUAUGACAUACAUAUAUUUAUGUAUGCUUUUUAUAUAUGCCUCUACAUUCAUAUAUUUAUAUAUGCUUUUUAUAUUGUAUUGUGCCAAAUAAAGAGAAUAAAAGUUUUAAUUAUUGAUAGAUUCUGCUACUUUUUUUAUGUACUUUUUAUUAAAUCACUCUUUAAUCAAAUGUAGAAUUAUAAAAUUAUUAAAUUUUACUAUAAAUAAUUAUCCUUAUAUAAUUAAUUAUUUUAGUAAAUUUUCCAACUAUCAAAACAGAUCACUCCACCAUCCCACGUCAAAAUUUUGUUAAGGGUAGGAGUUGAGAGAGGUAGAUACUUUGAUGAAUAUUUUCUUUUACAUGAUAAUUAUAUACUUCUUUAAGUUUGUUUUGGAUGUUGGGACAAUGUCAGUUGAUGCCGAAAUUUGAUAGUGCUGCAAAUUGAAGUGUUUAAGUGCUGCAAAUUGAAGUAUUUAGUUGCUGCAAAUUGAGAUGUUUUAUCGCUGUAAUUGAGGUGUAUAAAUGUUGUUAAUUGAUAUGUUUAAGUGCUGCAAAUUGAAGUGUUUAAAUGCUGUAAAUUGAAGUGUUUAAGUGCUGCAAAUUGAAGUGUUUAGUUGCUGGAAAUUGAGAUGUUUUAUUGCUGUAAUUGAGGUGUAUAAAUGUUGUUAAUUGAUAUGUUUAAGUGCUGCAAAUUUAAGUGUUUAAAUGCUGUAAAUUGAAGUGUUUAAGUGCUGCAAAUUGAAGUGUUUAAAUGCUGUAAAUUGAAGUCUUUAAGUGCUGCAAAUUGAAGUAUUUAGUUGCUGGAAAUUGAGAUGUUUUAUCGCUGUAAUUGAGGUGUAUAAAUGUUGUUAAUUGAUAUGUUUAAGUGCUGCAAAUUGAAGUGUUUAAGUGCUGCAAAUUGAAGUGUUUAGUUGCUGCAAAUUGAGAUGUUUAACGCUGUAAAUUGAAGUGUUAAAGUGCUACUUUCCAUUGUCACCUCCCCCAUUUCUUUAUGCAUCAAUAACUAUAUUAAUGAAAUCAAGUACUACAAUUAUAUACUAUUGCAGAUGGGGGUUGGAGAAUAUGAUCAAGGGGAAAACAUCAGAUAUGGUGAUUCCUAGCCAAGCAGUGGCUUCUUAGACACCCAACAUUUUGCACAACCAAACAUGACCACAACUUUUAAACCUACAUGUUGAGGUUGCUACACACAAGUCCCUUCCUUUUUUUAGUUUAUGUGCUAUGUGAUGAUUGUGUUUUAAAAUUUAACUUGUUUUAGUUCCUUACAUUCUUAUACGAUUCACACUCAAGGAGCUAGAUUUGGAGCUUAAACUGUCACUGUAAUCAGUAAUUUUUUUUUUGCUUCUUUAAAUGCAUGCUCAUGGAACUACAUCUUAUGCUUUCCUAGAAUUGUAAGUUCAAAUAAGGUGUUGAUCUGCAAUUUAUACAUACAACUUGAGCAAGUUGAUAUGAACUAGUUUCAAUUUUUUUUUUUAAAUGAAAGGAAUGUUAUGUAAUCAAAGGCAAUUUGACUUGUUGCAUGAGAUAUAGUGAAAAACAUUUAUCUUCUUAUUCAUGAAUUUCCAUUUUAAUACGUCUUCAAAUUAAAUUAUACAUUUUUUAAUUGGUAGAAUCUCACUUUUGCUGUUGCUGCAAUCUUUAACCAAAGAAUGGAGUGAUGUAUGUACUGAUAACAGUUCUAAAGGAUUUGUUUAAGCAAGUAAAGAGAUUGGCGUUUUUAUAAUAAUUUAGGAUAGGAAUGGAGCAAAUCCAAAGAAUGGAGUGGCAUUUUUAUAAUAAAUUUUUUUAUUUUUCGUGACCUUUACUAGCGUUUUUGGAGAAAGCGCCGCUAAAGGUCUUGUUUUUUAGCGGCAUUUUUGGGAAAAGUGCCGCUAAAGGUCUUAGUCUUUAGCGGUGUUUGUGGUAAAAGCGCCACUAAAGGUCUUGGUCUUUAGUAGUUUUUGUGGGAAAAGUGUCGCUAAAGGUCCUGGUUUUUAGCGGCGUUUGUGGGAAAAGCGUCGCUAAAGGUCUUGGUCUUUAGUGGCGUUUGGGGGAAAAGCGCUGCUAAAGGUCUUAGUCUUUAGCGGUGUUUGUGGGAAAAGCGCCGCUAAAGGUCUUGGUCUUUAGCGGCGUUUGGGGGAAAGCACCGCUAAAGGUCCUGGUUUUGAGCGGCGUUUGUGGGAGAAGUGCCGCUAAAGGUCAUGGUCUUUAGCUGCGUUUUUUCCGGCUAAAAAAGUGCCGCUAAAAGCCUGUUUUGGUGUAGUGAAUAUAAAAAUAAUAUAUAAUCUCAUUUAUUAUUUUUAAAUCGCAAUACAUAUUUAAUGUGCUAAAAUAUCAUUAGUGAAUCAAAUAAUUUAAUUAUUCUACAAAAAAAUAGAAGUAAUAAAUAACUUGAAAAUUAUAUUUUGCAUAAAUAUAAUAUUCAAAUAUUAACAAACAUACCCUAAAUCAAAUUUCAUGUAUAAUUUUAAAAUUUACCCCAAAGAUUUAGUGUACUUCUUGACCUGAACUUGACAAUUAAGUUUAUUUUAGUACUUGUAUAUUUUUUGUCCACUUUAAUAAUUGAACUUGACAAUUAGAUAUAUUUUAAUCUUUGAACUUGAAAUAUAUAAAAUUUUAUUGACAUAACACUUUAAGAUUGUCUCACAUCAUUAAAUUUGGACGGAAUAUAAAUUCAUAGUCAAAAUAGACCUACUUGUAAAGUUAGAUACUAAAGUAGACCCCAACAACAUAUAUAAGUAUCAAAAUGAAACUAGCUUACAAAGCAAAACUUCGUAUAAAAGAAGAUAAACAAAUUGUGCUACUUGAAGGGAACAACACUGGCACUGGAAAAACAUUCCGUGUUUGAGGACAUAAAAUCUCUUAAGCACUGCGUCCAGGUUAUGAGCUACUCACAGCAACACAGAUCGCUGGGAAAUAGUGUGCCAAAUUACCUUUUGUAUCUCUUCUUGGAACCACAUGGACAGGGAGCAUUACGGCUCAUUUCUCCACUCUUUACCAUAUUAAACUUGGUAAGAUCCAAUGGUGUUAAACCCGUUAGCUUUUGCACCUGCAAAAGAUAAAAAAAAACUAAUGACAUUUCCAAUGGAGAAAGAGAGAGAUGCAUAAACUAAUACUUGUCAUUGAUGUUUUAAACUGUGGGAGAAACAUUCAUCCGAACUCAAAUGCGAAUUUCAGCAACUGAAGAUGAAUGAAGGCAGACAUCUCAGUCUUUUAAGCAAUCUGGCAUUGAACCAAAAAAGCAUAACGCAGAUCAGCAGACCAAACAUCUGUAACUCUAUGUUAGUUCGACUCUUUCUUUUCCUUUAUGCAUCCAUGUUUGAUGCAAGUCUGGGACCAGAAUGAAUAUAGGGAGAUAAUCCUUUAAAAAUCCUCCAAAUACAUUAAAAAACUUGGACAAAAAAUGAACACAACACACCCGUGUCAAACAUAUAUAUCAGACACUCAAACUAUAGUCUGAACAACAAGAUAUACAAUCAUCAUUUUGACUCAGAUAAUAUGCAUAACUAACUCCCCUACCUUCUUAGACAAAUAUCUUACUUAUCUUUCAAAUAGCUCAUCCUACAUUCAACAUCAUAUUCACCGAGCAGCAGCCAAAAGACAAAAAUACAUUAACUUAGAGAAUUUAAGAUCAGACAAAUUGAGCAAUAGGCAUAAAGACACUAGCUCAUACGUUUUAAUCAUUCAACAUAUUAUCAGCAAAAACAUAACUGAAAAAAACCAGUGGUGAACCUACCACAGCAAAGUUCUUUGGCAUCGGUUUGCCUUCCUCUUUCAGCUUAACCAUCUUCUUAUGAACUUCUUUAGCCCAUGUGAACUUCGCAAGCGCAUUCUCAACAUAUAAUAAGGUACAAUCACACUGUUUUGCAGCUUCUUUCUUUUGACUCAGUUGGAGAUUCUAAAAAAAAAGUCAAAAUCUAAAUCCACAAUCAGCGAAUUCACCUACAGGGCUCCAACCAUGUUUUAUAGUUUGGACGAGAAAAGGCAGCACCUUCUUACAUGCAAUGUCAGUGGUCAACAGGACUGGAAUGCUCGCCUGUUUAUCAUGGUGGAAAUCAAAUUCUUAUAUAAAACAUAGUUAACAUUUCUCAGCAUAAAGCCUUCAUCUUUUGUGCAAACAAAUUUUAAAUUAACAGAACUCAACUAGUCGAAAUCACAAGCCAUUCAAAAAACAAUAGAAUCAGACAAACAUGUAAUAGAAUAAAAAUUUUCAUCUGUUCAAUCUGUUCAAUCGAACAAACAUUGAAAACAUUGAAAGAAUUUUCAUCUGUUCAAUCGAACAUGCAAUACAAAGAAAAGCUGAAUGGAAAACGCUAGAAACGAAUCAAAAUUAGGAGAACAAAAACAAAUAUUCCAGAUUUGAGCAAAAGCAAAACUAAAUCGAUUUUACAGAAAAGAGAAGAAAAGAAAAACAGGGAAAGAGUGUGAGAAUUUUUCGUUGUUGAUAAAAUGGAGAAAAGAAAAAAAACGAGAGAAGAAAAGAAAUGUACGAGAAUAAAAGAAGCAGAAAUCGAUGGAAGGGAAAAAAUUACCUUGCAAAACGUCGGAGAGGAUGAGCGCAGAAAACGAAAAAGAUGGUAACAAAUUGGGAGGGAAUCCCUAUUCCGCGCUUAAACAUCAGAAUGGCUAUUACAGCCAACGUGGGUAAUAGAUGCGGAACGGAACCAAACAUCCGUUUGGUGGUGGGCCUAGGGAAUUGGGGGGAAUGCAUACCGAUUCCCCCCAACCAAACAUACCUUGAGUUUGUUCUCUUAAGAGGAAAUGGUAAUGAGGUGUAAAAGCCAAGAGGAAAUGAUUAUCUUUACCGCUAGAAAUGAACAAGGUAUGUUAUUCAUAUUUUUCUCCGGAUGCAGGUUUUAAUUGGGCAAUAGUUUUACUUUUGUUAUAGCUAGAGGUUUUACUUGUCAUGCAUCUUACUGCAUUUGGUUAGUUUUAUGUUUUAUUGUUUUAUCUUUCUGGCAUUUUAUAUUUAGUUCUCCUAUUUUUUUAGACAAUUUCUGCAACAUUGGUUUCCUAUGACGUGAUAGUAUUUUUUUGUUGUAGUAGUGAUAACAUUUGUGGUUGGCAAGAUUCCUUUAACACGGUUUAUCUGGAAAGGUCUAUCUUUGGGUUGCUGAUAGUGUCACCGAGUGAAAUAAAUGCUAGUUGUGGCUCUUAUGAUUACAAACUAUUAGCUUAUUGGUAAAUUGAAUGUUCAGAUGUCAUGACUGAUGUAAAUUCACAUACUUUUAAACAUUGUGCAUCUUCUAAUUUUAUGAAUUUUAACAACAAAAAGUUUUCUAUACAUAAUGAUUAUUUGAUUACUGUAUGUUUGAUCUUGGAUUUCUGUUGCUAAACAUGAAUUGGAAUAAAAUGAAUGCUAGUUGUUCAUUUGAAUAACAAGAAUGAAAUAAAUGCUAGUCAAGGCCUCUAAAAGACUAAUUUAGUAAUUUGGCUGAAUUGAACCCUUAUAUCAUUAGGGAAUAUAACAGAAGAACUACUAAUAGUUUGAAUAGAACAUAAUGAACUGAUUAAUAAUACAUUUAAGAGGUAUGUUAGUAGCUGCUAGUCUCUAGUUCCUUGAGAGUUUGGUUGUUCAGAGUGUCGUCUAGGAUUGUAUUCUGUGCUGUCCAUGCAAGUGUAAUAAGAUUGACUAAGGUCUUUUCCCUUUGAAAUUGUUGAUCACUCAAUUAAGCUCAGUUGACCGGCUAUCAUGUCCUUGCUCAAUUAAGCUCUGCCAUAACUGCACGAAAGAACAACAAUUCCAUACACUCAUUACAAAGAAUACAAGUAGUGGAGUUCACGGACUAGACAAUUAAAGAGAACUUUACACAUGUAACCAAAUUCACCAAUAUGAGCAUUGAUAUCUCAUUUUUAUGAGAUCUUAUUAGAUUAUUGAUUAUGAAUAUGUUUACUCGAUCAUUUCAAGAUCAUGGUUUCAUUACAUGGAGUUGUUUGAUGGUGAAGGCAAUAAUACAUUUUUAAGAUUACUGCAGCCAAAAGAGUUGUUGCAAAGGAGACCAAAGUCCAGAACUCUUUUUCUUUUGUGCUUCCACAACUGAGUUCUCCAUUACCUCAACUUUCAGCUUCAAAUCUUGAGCUACUUGUCUCUUUCUGUCAUUGAUUGUUACUUUUAUGUGGUCUAAUAUUAGUUAUGCACUUGGACAAUGUUGUUGUUAUUAUGUGGUGUACUACUAAUUAUGCAUUUGGAUAAUAUUAUUAAUUUCUAGUAUUAAUUGUGGUUUGGAAGCUAAUUUAUAAUUAUUCAAUCCUUAUUUUUUAUUUUUUAACACAAUUAUAAAUAAUUUAUUUGACUUUGGUUGUUUUCAAUUUAUGACGGUUAAUAUUGUAGCUUAAUAAUUGAGUAUUUUGAUUUAUUUAUUUAUAAAUAAAUCAUUUCAAUAUAUGUAAAAAUAAUUUAAAAUAUAAAAAUUUAUUAAUAUGUAUAUAAAUUUAUUAAUAUAUGUAAAAACAACUUUUUCGGAAAAUAUUUUCAGGAAAUCUACCAAACAACAAAAAAUAUUUUACACAGAUUCAUCCAAACACUAGAAAAUAUUUUCAGUAAAUCAUUUUCCAGAAAAGUAAAUCAUUUUCAGGAAAUCAUUUUUCGAAAAACAUUUUACUGGCAAACAAACGAACCCUUAUUGCUCAUGGUCAUCAACCUAUAAACCCAAGAGCAUUAUUAGCUUCUAAAUCCAAAACACUAAUAUCAGCAUCCAACCCAACAAUGAUAGUCUUAUUGACUCAUUUAAACAAGUUUCCUUUGUCAAUCUAUAUUCUGUAUUUGGUAAUCUCCAAUAUGAUUUCAGAACAUACGAUAGUUGGAAGAAGAAUAGCAGCAAAGAUGCAAAGGGAAAUGACUUAUACGAGGAGGAAGAACCAUCUUUUGGGUGCAAACCUGUAUACCAUAUAAUAGGAUGUCCUGUAUAAUGUCACGAGAGCUAGUACCGUUGCCAAGCAGUAAUUACUAAUGCUAAUAUGAUGAACAGAAAAGGAUCCAGCCGUAAGAUAGUAUGGAUACUGAAAUGCGAGUGUCCGUAUGGAAACAGCAACUAAAAGCAUGUAACAGGUCCCAAAACAGGUCCCAAACAAGGAAAGUGUUAUGAGAAUCACUACACCAAAAUAGGCUUUUAGCGGCGCUUUUUUAGGCCUUUAGCAGCGCUUUUUAGCGCCACUAGCGCCGCUAAAAACGCCGCUAAUGACAGUGUCGCUAACUUUAGCGGCGCUUUUUCCACAAACGCCACUAAAGACCAAGACCUUUAGCGGCGCUUUUACCACAAACAUCACUAAAGACCAAGACCUUUAGCGACGCUUUUCCCACAAACGCCGCUAAAAACCAUGACCUUUAGUGGCACUUUUACCACAAACGCCGCUAAAGACCAUAGCUUUUAGCGGCGCUUUUCAAACAAACGCCACUAAAAAUAUAUCUUUUAAAAAAAUUAAUUUUUUUCAAAUAAUAUUUAUUUCUAUAAUAAAUAUUAUAUUAUGUUUUAAGGAUAAAUAAAAAAUAUUAUUUAAAUUAAAUUUUCUACAAAAAUUUUAACUUUAAAACUAAAUAUAAAUAUAAAAAUUAAUGAAUUUAAAUUUAGAAUUUAAAAUAAUAAAUUAAUAACACAAUUAAAAUCCAAAAGUUAGAACACUUAAGUAAAAAUAAAAAUUUAGAAUCAAAACUAAAAUAAAUGAUACAUAUGCAAGGUAAUAAAAUAUACAAUGCAUUUUCUUAAUCAAGUAAAUCUUGGUUACAAAACUAACACAGAAAAUAACACAGUAUACAGUAUGUUUUGUCUUUCACAUUUUAAAAAUAAUAAUAAUAGCAUGUUUGUUUGCAUGCUACCAUGAUCAAAACACAAAAAUGAAGUUCUCCACCUAAUACAAAUUUCUCCUACGAAUGUGCAGAAUCAGAUCUCUAGAUUCUCGGAGUUCUUCAUCUGGUGCUGUCUCGAUGGUUUUGAUUAUUGUGUCAUCUAGCUGGAUUCAAAAAAAAGAAUAGAAUGCAAAGCAUGUUAUACAUUUGGACUCCAAAUUUUUAGCAACUCAAAAGAAUGCUAAGAAUGUUGUCCAACCUUCCAGUACUCACAAGGAUCUUGAAUAAAAAUGAAAUCAGACCUCACCACUUCAUAUAAGAAGCCUACACAACUAAUUACACAAAAGAAAAAGAUGAGAAAAAAUAACAAUGUAAAAAAGACGUUUGAAUGAGAUAAUAUAGAACCCAGAGUUAACUCUGUGAAUACCUUCACUUUAGAGUGGGUGUACACAGUUCGAUAAAGAUCAGCACGAGUAGCAAAUAACUUGUGGAUACUAAGAUCUAGCAAGAGCACCCAUUACCAUUAUUAAGGAGUAAAAAAACACUAAAAGAACUAAACAUGUAUUUUGCAAGUAAAUGAAUUAGAUGAUACUAACAGUCUUUAGCACGAUAGCAGAUCUCAUCACCCAAAACUCGCAGUCUCCAUGAACCUGCAGGUGGUGUAGUAUGUAUAUUAAGUUUCACUUACUUAUCCACAUCAAUUCCAUUCUAACCAUUUGCAACAAUAUCAUAUAAGAAUUGCUUCUCCUUUGCACUCUUCAAAGUAAGCACAAAAUAGUGUAUGUGUUAGAUAAAGAAAAGAAACAAAGAAUGUUUGUACUUCAUACUGGAGCAAAAUAUAAAAAAUCCAGUGAUCAACAUGUGCCUACACUUAAAAUAUAAAAAAUCUAGUGAUCUACCGAAAUUAAACUAUUCAUCAAAAUGAUUGCAAUUAACUGAGUUAAAACAUGAUUUUUUUUCUUUUCUUGCAAAUAUCUAAAGUUUUUUAUACCUUCCCAAAUGGUGAAACAAGCUGGUGAAGUGCUGUAAUUCUGUCUCCUAAUUUUUCUUUCCUCACCUGCCAUAUAACAUAUAUAUGUAUAUAUACAAGUCAGAAAAAAAGAAAAAGUAGGUGAUUAAUUUACUAUUUUACUUUCACUUAAACUAUAUUCUCUUUUUCAUACAUUAAUAGAAUAUGAUAGUUACAGCAAAAAAAAAAGAAAAAGAAUCAUCCCUCUAGAAAUCGACAACCAAACAAGGACAACAGUUUUUACCACCCCACAUGUAUUUUGUGUAUGUGUAUAUAUAUAUAUGCUUGUGAGUGUGCGUGUGCGUGUGCGUGUGCGUGCAAUCUGUAUUGAGAUAAAAAAAAACAUAUAUUUAAUUAUAUAAAAAUUAUGAUAAAAGUAUCAUGGAAGUCCCUGUACUAAAAGGUGGAUUACAUUUUGCCCUUUUACUCAAAUGGUUUAAUUUAAACACUCAUUCAACAGCUAUUACCUAAAAUGCUACCACUUUUGAGGUAUAAAAUCAGUGGAAGUCUAAAUGAACAAAGUCCUAAGCCAAUCAAAACAAAGUCACCAAGAAAUGAAAAAACAAUCUGUUCUUAUCCUUUCGAAACAGUGACCAAAUACAAUGAAUUCAAAAGGUUGUCCUUUUCAUAUCUGCUUAUCAACCAAAUACGCAAUGAGAAAAAAAAAUCAUGAUCCGCCAGCAGAAAAGCUUGAAAUUUGAAUGGAUCAAAUGAAACAUAAAUCUAAUGUAAAACACACCUGGAGAAAGCUUAAAAGAAGAGCUUUGAUGAGAUUUUCUGGUGUGAGCUCUGGCUGACGCUGCUGAUAUCUUCCUUCUAACUUCCCCAUUAUCGUCCCUCAAAACCCAAUAAUCUGUAAAACGAAGACUCCCCCAAAUUACUUCAGAUGUCUCUCUUAAAUUCUAUUUAAAAAAAUUAAAAAUCUAUAAAAAAAAUCAGUUACUAUAAAAAAAAGAGAUAAGUGUGAAUUAAAAAUAUAAUCCCAAAUACUGAUUCAAUUGCAGACUGGGAUUUAUUUCUUACCUCAAAGGUACAGCAAUGGUUGUAACCUCUGUAACCUGUUUGUGAAACCUCUGUAACCUGUUUUACUAGUAAAGCCGAUAAUAAUCCAGAAACUGGUUGUAACCUCUUUGUAUUUGCCUGGGAAACCAGAAAUCUUCUCAUUAUCAGCAUAUGUUGAUUUUUUUUAUAAUGUCGCAGGGAGGGAGGGAGGGACAGAAAGCAAGAGAGACGGCGAAGAGUUUUAGGAGGGAAAAUUAGGGGUUUCGGGGAAAUUUGGGGCUAAAAUGGGGGGAGAAUUUUUAAAAGUGAAAUUAGGGUUUUUAGAGGGAAAUUUUGGGAUAAAACGGCGCCAAGUGAAAUUAUUUUUGCGACGUUUUAAAAAAAAAGCCGGGAAUGUACCUUUUGUGGAUUUUUUUUGAAAACGUCACUAACAAAUUUAAAUUCUUUUAUUGAAAUGACGUCGUUUUGAGAAAUAUUAAUACAUAGUAACGGCGUUUUUUGCUAAAAACGCCGCUAAAGCUCUCAUAUUUUUUAUAUUCAAUUAUUGUAUCUUUCAUAUAAAUUAUACAUAAAAGAAUUAUUAAAAUUUUAAGUAAUAUUUAAAAGAAUUAAAUAAUAUUAUAAAUUUAGUUUUCUUAUUUCAUUUUUAUUUUUGUAUUUUUUUCUUAUAAUUUGGUCCUAUCUAAAUUAAAUAAUUACCUAUAUAUCCAUAUCAAAUAUAUCAAAUGGUUUAAAUUAAAUAUUUUUAAAUAUAAAAGCAGUAAUUAAUUGUAUAAAAUUGUAUCAUUUAACAAAUCUCAAAUAAACCUUAAACCCUAAAUUAACCAUUCAAUAUACAUAAAGUCUAUCUAUUAUAUAUCUCUUACAUAAUAUAAACUAUACUCAUAAUUUCAAUAUAUUAAAUUUAUUAUUAUCUCUUUUACAAUUAUAUAAGAACAUAUUUAAUAUAUAAAUUAAAAAAUCAAUUAAUCUAAACCCUAAACCUUAACCCGACCCUUGAAACCCUAAAUCCCUAACUCCUAACCCCUAACUCUUAACCCCUAAACCUUAAAUCCCAACCCUUAAACCAUAAUCCCUAAAUCUAUAUAUAAUCCCCGAACCUUAAAAUAGUAACUCCUAAACUGGCUUUAAAUAUUAAAUUAACCAUAUACCGUAAACCAUAUAAACCCUAAACUAUAAUGAUAAUUAAUUAAAUAUUUUAAAAUUAAUACUAUCUUAUCUUUUUCAAUUAUAUAUGAAAUUAUUUAAUAUAUAAAUUAAAAAACAUCAAUAAAAUAUAAAUUAAAAUGCUUUUUUUUGGAUAAUUUAAUGAAUAUGGCAGGAUUAACUCUAAACCCCUAACCCCUAAAUUCUAAACUUAGCCCUAAACCUUAAACCCCAACCCUUAAACCAUAAACCAUAAACAAUAAUCCCUAAACUAUAAUGAUAAUUAAUUCAAUAUUUUAAAAUUAAUACUAUCUCUUUUACGAUUAUAUAAGAUAUUUUUAAUAUAUAAAUAUCAAACACGUCAUAGACACUUAAAACUUUGAGAUAGUUAUACUAUUUUUUAUUUCACUUAUAGGAACCUCAUACACUCAAGCACUGCAAGUCUUUUGUGAAUUAACCAAUGGUUAUGAAGAUCUACUACUUACGGUUAUCAAUGCCAGCUGGAAUCACAAAUAUUAACAAGAAUCAGACAUAGAUAGCAAAAUUAAUCAAGCACUUUCAAGGGACAUUCUAGCAGUUCUUUAAAGAAAUGGAUUUCAAUCCAAAAUUCAACAGUUCUGUAACUAGCCUAGCAGACAGAUGGAAAAAUAAUAUUUAUUUUAGAGAUCAGUCUACCUCUUAAGUGGAAUAACUUUCUAUAAACUUUAACCUUGUGAACUUUUUUAUUAAUAUAUUUCUUCUAAUACUUCUUAGAGAUAAUCACAGUCAAGAGAUUCAACCAUUAAGAUUCAAUGGAUGGUUAAUAUAAGACCAAACAAAGACAAUGCAUCUAAUUUAAUAAGCUCAGCAGUGCUCACGAAUAAAGCAAAACAGUGUAUAAGAAAUUAUUUAGUAUGUAAAUUAAAAAACACUCAGUAAUGUACCCAAAAAACUUAAAAACUAUUUUAAAUAAUAGUAUUUUAAAUCAUGUACCCAAAAAACUUAAAAAUAUUUUUUGCGGCGCUUUUUAAAAAACGCCGCUAAAAAUAGAGCAUUAGCGGCGCUUUAUCAAAAACGCCGCUAAAGACCAGAGCAUUAGCGGCGCUUCUUCAAAAAUGCCGCUAAAGACCCGAGCAUUAGCGGCGCUUCUCCAAAAACGCCGCUAAAGACCCGAGCAUUAGUGGCGCUUAUUCAAAAACGCCGCUAAAGACUCGAGCAUUAGCGACACUUCUUCAAAAACGCCGCUAAAGACCCGAGCAUUAGCGGCACUUCUUCAAAAAUGCCGCUAAAGACCCGAGCAUUAGCAGCGCUUUUCGAAAAAUGCCGCUAAAGCCCUGAAAAAUCAAAAAACGAUGUCGUUGUGCUUGGGUUUUUUGCGACGCUUUUUGAAAAAUGCCACUAAUGUUCAUUUUUAGCGGCGUUUUCCAAAAAACGCCGCUAAUACUGGAUCUUUAGCGGCGUUUUUCCUAAAGCGCCGCUAAUGCUUGAUUUUUAGCGGCGUUUUUUGUUCAAACGCCACUAAAAACGCCGCUAAAAGCCUAUUUUGGUGUAGUGAAUAAACAAGUAGAUUGAACGGCUGGGUAGGAGAUAGGCUGUUAAAACAGUUGUUGCCCAAAAGGUUAAAGUGUUGUAUAACCAAAACAUUGUGCACACGUUUAGUAUAGGUUCUAUUUUUUUUUCUUCAGCGGGUGGAGGACUUGGUACGGGUCCAGUGCUGGUUAAACCUAAAGAUGCGUCAUACUUGAGUUGGAAAUUCUGGGAAUUUGAAAUGGUACCAGGCUGCUUUGGAGGGUUCAAAGUGGCAGUGUAUGUGGCUGUUAUAAUUAGCACUGUGACUACUAAAAAUGUGUUACGCAUCUCAUGUGGGAUUCCCUUUGUUGACACCAUUUUUUUUAUAAAACAAGGUCGACUUGGGUUUUAAAAAUGAAAACAAACACGAGAGUCGCCACCAAUCCUUUUUGAUAAGGUGUGAUCGGGCCACCUUAAAAGUGGUUAUUUUUAAUAAACAAUUUAAUUUUAUUAAAACAACGAUUUCGGUCCACGAAAUUCAAAAAAUCGGUUCAGGAGUCGUUUACGUACGAGGAAUGAUUAGCACUCUCGUAACGCCCAAAAUUGGUACCUAGUUGAUUAAUUAACGUCUUAAUGUUGAAGGUCGAAAGAUUUUAAAAUACGAUCCUUAUAUUAAAAACUUGGAUAAAUCAAAUUAGCCGUUAGGACCCUCUCAUUUCAGAGAGAGAAAAUAUUAUACCCAAUGAGUUAGGGCAUGAUAUUUCACCUCUUCAAAAAUGUGCUUGUCUAAACAACUCGUACAGUAAAAUUUAAAAGGAUAUUCAAUUGUUUAAGUCAGGUGAAAAAAUUGUAGCCCAAUACGUUAGGGCACAAUUUCUCAAAAUUCUAAACAUUGAAUAUUGCCUUUAUUUAUUUUUUAGAAAAAUUCACGUCUCGAGAAAACAACGUGUCAUAUCCAAUGCGUUAGGAUUCAACGUAUUGAAUUCCCGAUAAUGAGUUUUUAUUUAUGUUUUUGAUUAAAGAGCAUUCUCGAUUAUUUAGAUUCAACGAAGAAAAUUAGAACCCAAUACGUUAGGGCUCAAUCCUCUCGAAAAUCCCAGAUAUUGAGUAUUGCUAUUAUUUUAGAAAUUUUCCUUUUUUCCAAAUCUGAGUAAAAAUUGAUGUAAUGGAAUAACAAUUAUGAUAAUAUAAGUAAAAAUAAUAAGAGCAAAAACAAAAAGAUAAAUAAAUAAGAAGACAAAUAUUAAUAUAUAAAAAAAUCAUUCAUGUAUACACAAUAAACAAGUAAUAAGCAAAUAAAAGUGAAACAUUCUUUUAAAAUAAUAAUGAAAGCGUAAAUAGAUAAAUAAAUAAAGAAAAUGAAUAAAAUUAUAAGAAUGUAAAAAGAUAUAUGUAUGUACAUAUAUAUAUAAAUUAUAAGAUAUAAUAAGAAAUAUAUAUAAGCAUGUAUAUAUAUAUUUAUAAAAAUUAAAAAAUAUGUAUAUAGAUAUAUAUAUGCAUAAAAAUUAUAAAUUAUAAAAUAUAAAAAAAAUAUAAGAAUGUAUAUAUAUGUAUAAAUUAUAAAUAAGUUAUAAAAAUAUGUACGGGUAUAGGUAUAUAUAUAUUAUAAAAAUGUAUGUAUGUGUAUAUAUAACAAUAUAUGCAUGUGUAUAUAGAUAACAAAAUUUGAAGUUUAAAAAGUAUAGAUAAUAAUAUUAAUGAUGUAAUAUAAUAAUAAUAAUAUAUUAAAAUGAUCAAUUUAAUAAUAAAUAACUAAAAUACCAAGCAGAGGACUAAAUCGAAACUAAACAAAACUUUAGGGCCGAAAUCAAAAAUGAAGAGUAGAGAAAAGGACUAAAUCAUAACGCGUCUGAAAGGAAAAGGACCAAAAAAGAAAUAAACCAAGUCACCCAAAACGCAGCGUUGCAAUGGACUAAAAUGAAAUCAGUGAGAAAUUAUGCAGUCCAAUUUGAAGAAUAAAAAAAAUCAAAUUAAAACAAAGUGCAAAGGUGGAGGGCUUAAUGCGCAAAUAUCCCUCCAAAGUAAAAAAACACGCGGAUCCUUCUCAGGGUCGGGUCACUGCGCGGGUCAGGGCUAAAACGGCAUCAUUUUGGCUCCUGACCCUAAACAGCAAAACGCCGCCGUUUAAUAACCUUUAUUUAAAACAUAUUUUUUCUUAGAAAAAAAAUCAUUUUUUAGGGUUUUAGAAUAAAAUUGCAGAGGAAGAAACUCUCCUGUCGUCAGCCGAAUGGGCCACCAUCGGCCCCGCCGUGGGCGGUGGGCAGAAGGCCAAAAGUUGGGUUUUUUAAACCCCGCUUCAAGGGCCGUCUGAAGAUCGAGUUUUCAUGACCCUAAGGCCAUAGGAAGAAACCCCAAACGUCGCCUUCCCCAUCCGCUUUCGGUGACUCGAAGGACUCCGGUGACGACACUUACACGGCGAUUCAGGUAUGUUUUCCUUUCUCUUUUUAUUCUAUUUAUUUCGUAUGUAAAAAAAAAGAAGAAAUGGACCGAGAGAAAAAGCCAAUCGGAAAAUGUAAAAGGAAUCACCUUUAAAACUGUUUUCUUUUUUUAUUUCUUGAAUGUUCGUGGAAAAAAAAAGAAAAAAGACCCCCUUACAGAUGUAAAGAUCGGUUUUUAAAUCGAUUCUCCCCCCAAAAAAAUACAAAAAGUUUUUUUUUUAUUUCUUUCUAUUCUUCCUGUCACUGCUUCGGUUGCUUUGCAAGUACUUGAUGGUGGCAAGUGGCGGUGGGUAGGUGACAGAGGGCAAGUGAGCGGCGAUGUGACAAUGGCGGCUAAUCAGGGCAAGUGGGCGACAGAGGCUGCGACGCUAGGCUAGGGUUUCAGAAAAUUGAAACCCUAGUUUGACUGGGUUUGUUGGGCUGGUUUUUGGUCUGUAUUUGGGUUGUUUGUUUGGGCCAAGUUUGGGUUGAUAUGGUUAUAAUGGGCCCUUUGUAAUUUUUUGGGUUUGCCUGGGCAAAAUUCGGCUGUACACCCUUCUUUCCACGACUUGCUAUUGUUGCAAAUUUUUGAAGACUGACACCUUUCCUUUUAAAGAUUCGAUGUGGAAUGAAGAGAUGGAGGCUUUGGGAAGCGAGGAAGAGGAACCACUCAAACCUCCUGCUUUGCUUAUCAUGUCUUUAAUGGACUCCUUAUCGUCCACUCUCCCUUCAUCCAAUGGGUAUUGUGAUGGGAUAUCAAGUGCAGUCAAUCCCUUAGCAUUUUUGCAUUGAUAUGGUCAGCACACAAGCGUUUCAACAGUAAUUUUACCACCUGUUAAUUAGAAUAUUCAUACAAGUAACCUUUGAGUAUAUAUAUACAUAAAUAAUUUCACUUGCAAAAUUAUCAUACCUUAGGUCUGUUUCUGAUAGCAGCAACAUGUAAAACAAUGUUGCCAUCAAUGUCUGCCCAACUCAGAAGUUCUUUCUCCCAACAGUUGGCAGCUUUAUGGCGGCUCCUUAUAAGCCACCCCACCAAGACUUGGAAAGCUUCAAACCUGUCAUUUUUUACAUGAUUCUUUACAUGUUUUUGGUUCCACUGCAUAUUAUCAUGUAAAAGAAUCUAAGUUAGACCCAAGAGCAAAGAAAGCAUUAUUCAUGGGUAUAACUGGUGGAGUAAAAGGAUACCGUCUCUGGUGUCCUGAUACAAGGAAAAUUAUUUUCAGUAGAGAUGUGACUUUUGAUGAAUCAACCAUGAUGAAGAACAAUGAUUCACAAAAGGAUAACACAACCAAUGGCACUUUGCAGCAGGUGGAGCUUGAAAAGGUUAAUGAUGAUCCAGCUAAUAUUGAAGGAACAAAUGAUGAAGAAGUUUCGACCCAAGAACUUCUACAGCAACAUGAUUCAAUUGCAUAUAGAAGGCCAAGAAGAGAGAUUUGUAUGCCUGCUCGCUUUAAUGAUAUGGUGGCCUAUGCACUUCCAAUUACAGAUGAUGAUGUUCCUUCUACUUACACAGAAGCAAGAAGUAACCCUGAUGGUGUAAAGUGGAAGCAAGCUAUGAAUGAAGAAAUGCAGUCUCUUCAUAAAAAUAGGACUUGGGAGUUGGUGACACUACCCAAAGGAAAGAAGGCAAUUGGAUGCAAAUGGGUAUAUUCAAAGAAGGAAAGAUUUCCUGAUAAAAAUGAAGUUCGAUACAAGGCUAGAUUGGUAGUAAAGGGUUACGCUCAGAAAGAAGGAAUAGACUACAAUGAAGUAUUUUCUCCAGUUGUGAAGCAUUCGUCUAUUCAGAUUUUGCUAGCCUUGGUUGCGUAAUAUGAUCUUGAACUAGUUCAGCUCGAUGUGAAGACCACAUUUUUACACGGUGAUUUGGAAGAGGAAAUCUAUAUGACUCAGCCAGAUGGAUUCAAGGUUACUGAUAAAAAAAAUUGGGUUUGCAAACUGACAAAGUCACUUUAUGGAUUGAAACAAUCUCCGAGGCAGUGGUACAAGAGAUUUGAUCAGUUCAUGAAAGGGCAAAGGUAUACAAGAAGUAAAUUUGAUCAUUGCGUGUAUUUUUAGAAGCUACAAGAAGGAUUUUUCGUAUACUUGCUCUUAUAUGUUGAUGAUAUGUUGAUAGCAUCUAAGAGUAAAGUUGAAAUUGAGAGAUUGAAGACUCAACUCAACCUUGAGUUUGAGAUGAAAGAUCUAGGUGAAGCUAAGAAGAUCCUUGGCAUGGAAAUAUGUAGGGAUAGAGCUCAUGACAGAGUUAGUUUGUCUUAGAAGCAAUAUUUAAAGAAGAUACUACAGAAGUUUGGCAUGAACGAGCAGACUAAAGUUGUAAGUACCCCGUUGGCUUCUCAUUUCAAGCUUUCUACACAACUCUCUCCUUCGACAAAUAUGGAACAAGAAUACAUGUUACAAGUUCCGUAUUCUAAUAUGCAAUUGUGUGUACAAGACCCGACAUUUCACAGGCAGUUAGUAUAGUGAGCAGGUAUAUGCAUAAUCCUGGAAAAGGACAUUGGCAAGCUGUGAAAUGGAUUCUACGGUAUAUUCAUAAGACCAUGGAUAUUGGAUUACUGUUCAAGCAGGAUACUACACUUGGUAAAGGUGUUGUUGGGUACGUUGAUUCUGAUUAUGCCGGUGAUUUGGACAAACGGAGAUCAACCAUUGGUUAUGUGUUUACUCUUGCUGGAGGACCAAUAAGUUGGAAGUCUACACUGCAGUCUACAGUUGCGUUGUCAACCACAUAAGCUGAAUACAUGGCUGUAACAGAGGUUGUAAAGGAAGCUAUUUAGUUACAAGGUAUGGUUAAAACCUUGGGUUGGUUCAGGAGCAUAUUAAUGUGUAUUGUGAUAGUCAAAGUGCUAUUCAUUUAGCAAAGAAUCAAGUCUAUCAGGCACGUACAAAGCAUAUCGACGUACGUUUCCAUUUUGUGCGGGAAAUUAUUGAUAACGGGAAAAUUCACCUUCAGAAGAUUAAGACUGCAGAUAAUCCUGCAGAUAUGAUGACCAAGGUGGUAACAACAAUCAAGUUCGAACAUUGUUUGAACUUGAUCAAUAUUCUGCAUGUUUAACACUUGAAGAAUCCACUAUCAAGUGUUGUUGACAAAGGCAGAGAGAAUUGUGUGAAGAUAAGAUUACUCGAAUCAAAUCUUCAAGGUGGAGAUUAUUGGGAAUUAUCCAUAUUUAUGGAAAAUCAAAGAUAUGGGUAUCAAAUAAUAGAAAUUCAAAGAUAUGGGUAUUAAAUAUUGGAAAGUCAAAGAUAUGGGUAUCGAGAUAUUGGCAUCAUAAAAUUUGAGAUAUUUGCAAUAUAUGGUCUCUAAUUGUAAAGUGACUUUGCAAGUUGAUCCCUGAACCUCAACUAUAAAUAAGCAUGACCAUCUCUCAUUCUGUAUCUCAAACUUGCCAUUCUUUACUUAAGGCAUUGUUUUCUCUCUCUCUCUCUUUGUAAAUUCUCACUUGUAUUUUGGAGUGAAAUAUAUUUGGUAGUGGCCGAGGAUGUAGGCAAAAUUUGCUGAACCUCGUUAAAUUAUUGUGUUCUUUAUUGUAUUAUUCUGCAUGAAUUGUGUGUGUGAUUGUAGUGAUUUAUUGUGCCAUUAAAUUACGAUUGAGGGAUAUUCUGGCUAAGGAAGACCUGGUACUUAAGCGAUCCUUGUGAUCCACCUCUCUUUCCUGGGAAUUGAACUUAGUGUGAUUUUUUAGUACAAAAAUUUUACUCUUUUACACGCUUCCGCACAACAUCUUUAAUGAUAAAAGCUUAAAGAAUAAUCUUUAAAAUUUGGUUGUUGGUAGCUUUAUUUGGGUAGAAUUUGAGAUUUAGUUCAUAUAUUUUAAAUGUUAAAAUUUUAAUUUUUUUUACUUUUUCAAUUUAAUAUUGUAAAAUAAAACCAUAAAAAAAAUUGUGUACAAAUAGUAUUGAAUUUACAUAAAAAUAUAUAAAAAAUGCAGCAUAAAUUUGAAUAAUAAUACAUGAACACUUAAAAUGAUAAUAUAUGAAAAAAAACUUAAGAUAAUAAUAUACGAUAAAUUUAAACAAUAUUAAUAAUGAAUUUAAAAUAAUAUUAAGCAUAAAUAUUAAAAUAAGGUUAGAUUUAAAAAUAUAUAAAAAUAAUGGAAUAAUAAAUACUUAAAUAAAUUAGAAAAAUAAGCAAAUUAAAUCAAGCUAAUAAGGAUUAAAUUGGAUUUAAAACAAAAUUAGAAGGCAAAAACGUAAAUAAAAUAAAAUAAAGGACCCAAUUGAAAGGCGCGAAUAACUCAAAGGGACCAAAUGGGGAAAUAUCCCCGCCUUUUGAAAUGCAUCGUUUCACCAGGACCAAAUCAGAAACCAAAUAAAAUUUAAAGUAUCAAUUGAAGAAAAUAAAAAAAAUUGAAUUAAAAUAAUAAAAAAUACGGAGGGGGCAAAUGCAUAAAUAUCCUUACCAAGACCAGAACAGGCAGAUCUAGCUGCCUCUGGGUCGAGUCAUCGGGUAUAGUCAAUACGGCACCGUUUUGGAGCCAUUGAAACAGACUUUAAAUGGUGCCGUUGCAUGGCCUUUAUAAAACAAAAAAAAAAAGAAAAAUAAACAAGUUUUUAGCCAUUUCGAAUCAGAUAAAAACCUUAGCCACACGCCGUUUAGAAGCCUGGCCAUUCAAAGGCCAAUCGAUCCCUGUCUGAACUUCGAUUGCGACAGAGUGAGCAAGGAUUCGACACCACCAAGUAAUUUUCUCACCUUAAAUCGUUUUUUUCUUUUUUUACACAUGAUGAGUAAACAAAUAGAUGAGUCUAGAACAGAAAAGAAAAACAACGAAAAGAAAAAAAAAGGUUUCAAAUCACCUUUAGAAAAUUCUGAUUCUUUGAUUUUUCGUCCCCUUUUAUAGAUUUUUAAUUGGCUUUUUAUAGCCGAAACGAAAAAAAGAAAAUAUGUAAAAAAGAAAUCUAUUAUGUUAUCUAGCUAUUUUCAUUUGCUGGCAUAUUGUUGCUCGCUUUUUACUGUUAUUCGUUUCUGUUUCAGGUGUACGAAGGAGCGAUGACGUGGAGGUGCAACACGCGUGGAGGCCUGGUUCCCAGCUGCGGCGUGGACUGUUCCAAAAACCCUAGGGGUUUCUGGAGAUUUCAAAUUGGGCCACUUCAAAUCGGGCUAGGGUUUAAUUAAGUCUAGGAUUGUAUUAGGUCUAGGAUUGGGUUAGAUUUUGGGUUUAGGCCUCAAUCCGAAUUUGGCCUAUUGUAACUGAACUUUUGGACUUAUUAAUGGUUAUUUUGGGUAUUGGGCUAUUAGGGUUUGUUGGGUUUGGGUUUUAGAUAUUUGGGCUGAUUUGUGUUUGUUUAUUUUGGGUUGUUUGUGUAAUUCUGGAAUUUUUAUUUUAUUGGACUUUUAUUUUUUGAUUUGGUUUUUUUUUUGUGUGGGCUCGAGCAGAUUGGGCCUGCUACAAUAUUGAUGCAAAACUUUGUCACUAAAGUGCAAAUUGUAACAAUAGUUAAGUAGUCUUUUGUUCGAAUAACAUUAGAAGCACAUCAAAGUCAAAGCACAUAGACUUUAAGUUCAUUGUUGUUAAAAUAAAAGUUUAGGGUGGUUAGAUGUCUAUAAAGUAUAUUGAGACAAACUCCAUGGUUGUGGAUUCGCUUAUUAAGGGACUACCACCCAAAGCUUUUUUCCUGAGCACACUGUUGAUAUGUGUGUAAUGUCAUUCAAGGAUAUUUGAUUUUAGUAGGAGUUUGUACUUUUAAACGUUUUUAUGUUAUAAAUACAUUUUCAAUUAUUUUAGUUUACAAAUAUUAAGUUUUUUUUUUGUAGAAAGAAAGUUUAUUUGGUAAAGUUUGAUCUCACUAAGAUUAAUGUGGACCGGUUAGAAUAUGCAUGUUUGAAUCAUAUUACAUGUAAUUUUCAUGUUACACAUCCAUACUUAAUCUAUGUCAUUUGGUUGUGCUAAUAUAUGUGAUUAAGGCUGGAUUUAGUUAUGAUAUAUGUAACAAAGUUGCAUUCUUUCUAUGUUAACAUAAUUAAUGGACAGAUUGUUCGAAAUGCCUUUUAGAUACGAUAGUAAAAUUUUGAGCUCAUAAGGUUAUAUAAUGACAUGUAAUUAUAAGGUAAUCGGUAUAUAUAUAUAUGUCAUCCAAGUGGUAUAUAUGGACAUCACAUAUAUAAUAAGCAUGUUACAUGUUAUUAUUUACUAUCAUAAAAGAUUAACUCAAAUUAAAAGUGACCUAAUUUGGUUAAGAUUUAUUGGAUUUUAGUUAUUAAAUAAAAUAUAGGUCAAUAAUAUGUGUAGAUACUCUAGUAACUAAUUUCUAAUUUAUGAUGGGCUGAUUAGAAAUUAGGUUAAUGUGAAAAUGUUAUAUAUUAGGAUUUUAGUCUCCAAGUUACGCAUAUGUAACUUUUCUAAUAUCCCAUCUUGAGAAAAGAGAGAGUCACCUUCUUUAGAUUACUUGUGAGCUAAUUUGGAAGAUCAAAACCUUAAAAUUCGUAGAUUUCAAGAAAUCGGUAAAUUCAAAUACGCUUCUGCAUUUAGUUUUGUUCUUAAUUAUUUGACAUGAUAGAUUCUGAUUUAUUAAGUUUUGUAAAAGAGUUUUACGGUUUUAAUAGGAUAAUUACGAAUCCCAAAUAUAAACUGUAAAACGGACAUGAAGAAUAUAAAAGAAAUAUUACAAGAAUUUUGAAAGAGAAAAUUAAAUUGAAAAUUUUAAUGUUAUUUUUAUCUUUCAUAAUUAUUUUUAUUUAUAUUUUAUUUACAAGAACAUUUUAUUAAGAGUUUAUUAGGAUUAAGUUUAUUUUUACUUUUAUUAAAUAAAUGUUAGACUAAAAAUAAACUUUUUUUUCCACUGUUGGUAUAAUGGAUAGUAGGCUAGGUUGUCCUUUUUUAUUUGUUUAGGCACCCGUGUAUGAGAAUAAUUUAUAUUAGAAUAGUCCUAAAGGUUAAAGAUUUUAAUAUUAAUAAAAUUUUGUCACAUCAUUAAAUUUUAAAAAUAUAAAAUUAUUAUUAUACAUUCGUUCAUAUUAAAUUUACUUUUUAACUUUCGUUCUUCUUAAACAUAAAUAAUUAAAAUAAAAAUAGAAAAAUAGAAUAUUUAAAAUUUAUACAAUCCUUAAAGAUUUAAUCCAAUAUUUUUUUUUGUUUUAAAAAAUGUAUAAUAUGAAAUAGAAAAAAAAAUUAAAAUGGAAAAACUCCAUUGCCUAUAAACUAAUUUUUUUUAAAAAAUUGGUUACAAAAAUUAAAAAUAUUAACUUCUGAAAAAAAACUAAAAAUGAUUAAAAUUUAUAAAAGAAGAAAAGAUGUUUAUUUAUAAUUUAAAAAAAUUAAUUAUUUUAAGUAAUUUAAUUAAAGUUAAAUUAAGUUAAGAAAAAGGAGAAAUGGAUAAGUAUAUAAUAAUACAUAAUUUGUUAAAUAUAUAAAGAAAUUUAUUUGAUUUAGUACCUAAAUAUUAAUAUUCGAAACUCUCGAUUUUUCACAAUUUAUUCAAUCAAAUUUAGAUCCAACUUUAAUUAUAUUACAAAGACAUUCUAUUUUAUUAUUUUAUUAACGGGUGAAAAAACUUAGUUCAACCCAUAAACAUUGACCACAAAGGGAAAUUUGAAACACUUACCACCAAUCCCCUAUCAGAAAGUCUUUCCCACAUUCAACUAGAAAUCAGAGCUCACCAAAAUGUUUAUUCUUUUCAAUCUGAACCGACUCUACAAUCACUUAUUGCUCAUGGUCUUCAGCCUAUAAACCCAGAAGCAUUAUUAACUUCUAAAUCCAAAACACUAAUAUCAGCAUCCAACCCUACAAUGGUAGUCUUAUUGACUCAUUUAAACAAGUUUCCUUUGUCAAUCUAUAUUCCAUAUUGGGUAAUCUCCAAUAUUAAUUCAGAAUUUAGGAUAGCUGGAACAAGAAUAACAGCAAAGAUGCAAAGCGAAACGACUUGUAGGAGGAGGAAGAACCUUCUUUUGGGUACAAACCUGUAUAGCAUAUAAUAGGAUGUCCUGUAUAAUGUCACGAGAGCUAGUACCGUUGCCAAGCAGUAAUUAGUAGUGCUGAGUUUAGAAUAGGAAACGGAUCCAGGAGUCGAAAGAUAGAAAAAAUACUGAAGUGCGAGUGUCCGUAUGGAAACAGCAACCAAAAGCAUGUAACAGGUCCCAAACAAGGAAAGUGUUAUGAGAAUAAACAAGGACAUUGAACGGCUGGGUAGGAGAUACGCUGUUAAAACAGUUGUUGCCCAAAAGGUUAAAGUGUUGUAUAACCAAAACAUUGUGGACACGUCUAGUAUAUUUUCUAUUUUUUUUUCUUCAGCGGGUGGAGGACUUGGUACGGGUCCAGUGCUGGUUGAACCUAAAGAUAUGUCAUACGUGAGAUGGAAAUUCUGGGAAUUUGAAAUGGUAUCAGGCUGCUUUGGAGG